rnacentral:lncRNA from 1 species
GUGCUGUUGUUAGAUGUGGCGCAAGUGUGGCUCUGGAUCUGUGAGAUCAUCACUGGGUGUUAGUGUAGUAGAGUAGGGUUAUGGAACUUAACUUUGUUUAGGAGUAUUGCGUUCCCGCUUGUAUUUUGUAAAGACCUUUGCAGUCUUGUUGUAAUCGUGAGAAGUAUGGCGGCGCGAAGAUAAACUAACAGAAACCGACUGACCUACUAUGGGAAAUGACCUGAAUAUCAUGUCGGAUUCGAAAUGUGGGCACUGGUACUUUUAAGCAUGUGUACUUCUCAUGCCUCUGAUUCUGUUUUUCAUCUGAGAUCGAAGCAGUUACUCCUGGGCCAAUACUGCAUUGUCAUUUCUCAACAAGCAGAUGCUGAAGUGUGGAGUUGGCAGUGCACACAGUAUUUUUUAUUUAUUUUUGACAGUGCACACAGUAGCAAUUUUCCUAACAAGCAGAGACCAUGUGAUCUGGGGACUGGUAGUAGCCAUCGGCAUCGAAGCAACUAGACUGAUAGAAACUGCCUGAUUUCUGGAGAAAUGCUUCAAAUGAAACUUAUGUUUAUGUAUGUUUUGCAACGUGCGUAUGAGUACCAGUAAAACAUAAAGGGGAGCGAAAAUAGCUGACUCCCUAAAGCACGGCUCUUUACAAAUUCAGUUCAGGCUUGUGGCCUUGUGGGGGUUUCAAGCAUCGCAGACCCUGCAACUUUUGCGCUGAAACAUGGAGACUGGAGAAGAGUAGUGCAUCACCAUUUCCUGGUUUCACUGCAAGUCAAGACCAAAUCCUUGUUUUGGAAUGGGCGUUCCUGUGAAAUCUCUGGUUGCCAAUAAAGUUGGUUCAUAUAGGACAUGCAUAUUGUGGGCGUUCCUGUGAAAUCUCUGGUUGCCAAUAAAGUUGGUUCAUAUAGGAUGCAUAUUGUGACGUGUAAGGGCAUCUCCAACGUCGACUCUCAAACCGCCUGCAUACGUUCGGAUAUCGGUCUGCCGAGCGGUCCGGACCCACUUUUCCGCAAACGGGAGGCUUUGCGGGAGUCUAGACAUUCAUUUGCCCAGUGGAAAGCCACCACGCGCCCUCGUCCGUGCAUGAUGGCGGAAGGCCGAUGCUAUUUGGCAGAAUGGGAAAACUUGAUUAUUAACUGAUCAGCACGACGUUUUGGCCGAAGGCUUCAAGCUAGCUAGUUUGAUUUGGCGGAAGGCACAUUGUGCGAGCGGUAAACGUCUUGCCCUUGUCGAGGGCGACGUGUUCACGUUAUAUAGCAGGGGAGCCAAAACCCUAGAUGGCUUACAUGCGGUUUGAGAGAGAGAUAAGAGAGAAUCUAGGAUACAUCUUGUGAGAGAAGAAAGGAGGAGAUGGUUACAAGAAUAUCUCAAUACAAACUACCUCCUAGCCUUAUCUCUAAUAUGCCUGGCCUUAUCUCUAAUAUGCCGCAUAUGAUGGUGUUUAACACCCCCCCCCCCCCAAUCACAACUUCAUCAGGUUGAGAUUAUGCUUAAACUCUUCAAAGCUUCUGAUAGGCAAGGCUUUAGUAAACCCAUCUGCAACUUGAUCUCUAUAGUGAAUGAACCGAAUAUCAAGCUGUUUCCAUGCAACUCUUUCUCUGACAAAAUGAAAGUCUAUCUCUAUGUGCCUUGUUCUGGCAUGAAAGACUGGAUUUGCAGAUAAGUAGGUAGCACCAAGAUUAUCACACCACAAACAUGGAGUUUGAGAACUUCGGAUACCAAGUUCCUUUAGCAUUGAUUGAACCCGUAUGAUUUCAGCUGUAUCAUUUGCUAAUGCCUUGUACUCUGCCUCUGUGCUAGACCUAGACACUGUGGCCUGUUUUCUUGCACACCAUGAAAUCAAGUUUGGUCCAAAAAAUAUUGCAAAUCCACCAGUGGAGCGCCUGUCAUCCAGACAGCCUGCCCAAUCAGAAUCAGAGAAAGCACUAACAAGAGUUGAGGAUGACUUGCUGAAGUUAAGACCAAUGCUCAAAGUAUGUUUGACAUAUCUAACAAUGCGUUUUGCAGCAGUCCAAUGCACAGUGGUAGGAGCAUGCAGAAACUAACAUACCUUGUUGACAGCAAAAGAGAUAUCAGGCCUUGUUAGAGUCAAGUACUGUAGUGCACCUACCAAACUCCUGUACUUUGUACUAUCCUCUUGAUUCAAAAGUUGCCCUUCUGUGAGAGAUAGCUUUUCUGAGCUAGAUAAUGGAGUGAAGGAAGGUUUACAACCUUGCAGGCCUGCCUUUCUUACCAAAUCGGUUGCAUACUUCUCUUGAGAGAGAUGAAGUCCAUCUUUGUGUUUCUUCACCUCAAUCCCAAGGAAAAAAUGGAAAUCUCCAAGAUCCUUGAGAGCAAAUUCUGCACUUAAAUCCUUCAACAAUGAUGCAAUGGCCUCACUAGAUGAGCUUGUAACAAUAAUAUCAUCAACAUAGAUGAGAACAAAUAUGCAUGUAUUGAGCUUAUUGUAAAUAAACAGUGAGGUAUCUGACUUGGAAGGGACAAAACCAAGUGAUUGCAUCUUAUGACUAAGACGGGAAUACCACGCCCUUGGGGCCUGCUUCAAGCCAUAGAGUGCUUUAUCAAGUUUGCACACAAACGAGGAAUUAGACUUGCUCUCAAACCUAGGAGGCUGUUUCAUAUACACCUCUUCUUCCAGAACACCAUGAAGAAACGCGUUCUGUACAUCUAGCUGUCUGGGACUCCAUCCUCUAGAAACAGCAAUAGACAGAACAAGGCAAAUGGUGGCAGAUUUUACAACUGGACUAAAUGUAUCCUCAUAAUCAAUACCAUAUCUCUGUUUAAAACCUUUGGCAACAAGCCUAGCCUUGUAUCUAUCAAUAGUUCCAUCAAAUUUCCCUUUAACUCUGAACACCCACUUGCAAUCUAUAAGAUUUUUACCUUGCCGUGGGGGAACCAAAUGCCAUGUUUCAUUUUUCUUCAGUGCCACAUAUUCUUCCAUCAUUGCUUUUCUCCACUUUUCAUCUCCAAGUGCCUCAUCCAGAGUUCUUGGUUCAGCAUGUUCAUCUAUAGAAUAAACAAGGCCAUAUUUGCUUUGAUUUUUGUAAUUAAGGGGUUGAGUUACACCUUUUUGUAAUCGUGUGAGCUGCCUAGACUGCAUUGUUGAAUCAACCGGCAUAGAAGAUCUGGAGCCGCGCACAGGAGUCUCUGGUGCAGGCGAUCCCGAGGCAGAUUCGCCUAACACCCGCACUGGAUCCUCUGUGGCUUCAGCACGUGACGGCGAAGUUGUAUCAGCCGCAGAAGAUCCUGGCGCACUUCCUGACGCACCAGCAGGCUCAUCAUGAGCCAAUGAUUGCGCGGCGCCACGAGGAUCAGCACCGAAGCUCGCACCCUCCUGGUUGGUCGGGUCAGCGCUAGAUCCCGCGCCCGCGCCGGUCGGCCGCGCCUGGGCCCGCCGCUUGUAGCAGUGCGGUUGGUCGGGGAAGCGCAUGUCGCCCGCUCCACUGGGCCGCCGCCGCGUGGCAUCGGGCGAGCCACCAGCCUAGGGCUGGUCAACACGCGCGGCAGAUUCCUGUUGGAAAUAUGCCCUAGAGGCAAUAAUAAGUUAGUUAUUAUUAUUAUAUUUCCUUGUUCAUGGUAAUCGUUUAUUAUCCAUGCUAUAAUUGUAUUGAUAGGAAACUCAGAUACAUGUGUGGGUACAUAGACAACACCAUGUCCCUAGUAAGCCUCUAGUUGACUAGCUCGUUGAUCAAUAGAUGGUUACGGUUUCCUGACCAUGGACAUUGGAUGUCGUUGAUAACGGGAUCACAUCAUUAGGGGAAUGAUGUGAUGGAUAAGACCCAAUCCUAAGCCUAGCACAAAGAUCGUGUAGUUCGUAUGCUAAAGCUUUUCUAAUGUCAAGUAUCAUUUCCUUAGACCAUGAGAUUGUGCAACUCCCGGAUGCCGUAGGAAUGCUUUGGGUGUACCAAACGUCACAACGUAACUGGGUGGCUACAAAGGUACACUAUGGGUAUCUUCGAAAGUGUCUGUUGGGUUGGCACGAAUCGAGACUAGGAUUUGUCACUCCGUGUGAUGGAGAGGUAUCUUUGGGCCCACUCGGUAGGACAUCAUCAUAAUGUGCACAAUGUGACCAAGGGGUUGAUCACGGGAUGAUGUGUUAUGGAACGAGUAAAGAGACUUGCCCGUAACGAGAUUGAACAAGGUAUCGGGAUACCGACGAUCGAAUCUCGGGCAAUUACAAUACCGCUAGACAAAGGGAAUUGAAUACGGGAUUGAUUGAAUCCUCGACAUCGUGGCUCAUCCGAUGAGAUCAUCGUGGAACAUGUGGGAGCCAACAUGGGUAUCCAGAUCCCGCUGUUGGUUAUUGGCCGGAGAGUUGUCUCGGUCAUGUCUACGUGUCUCCCGAACCCGUAGGGUCUACACACUUAAGGUUCGAUGACGCUAGGGUUAUAGGGAAUAGAUGUACGUGGUUACCGAAUGUUGUUCAGAGUCCCGGAUGAGAUCCCGGACGUCACGAGGAGUUCCGUAAUGGUCUGGAGGUAAAGAUUUAUAUAUGGGAAGUCCUAUUUUGGUCACCGGAAAAGUUUCGGGUGCUAUCGGUAAUGUACCGGGACCACCGGGAGGGUCCCGGGGGUCCACCAAGUGGGGCCACCGGCCCCAGAGGGCAGCAUGGGCCAAGUGUGGGAGGGGACCAUCCCCAAGUGGGCUGGUGCGCCCCCCACCAGGGCCCAAGGCGCCUAGGGUUUGGGGAGGGGGCGCCUCCACCUUACUUGGGGGGCAAGUUUCCCCCUCUUCCCCCCUUGGCCGCCACCCUAGAUGGGUUUUGGGGCUGCCGCACCCCUUGGGGUGGGAACCCUAGAGGGGGUGCAGCCCCCUCCCUCUCCCCUAUCUAUAGUUGAGGUCUUUGGGGCUGCAAACACAUGAGUUUCUCCUCUCCCUGGCGCAGCCCUACCUCUCUCCCUCCUCCUCUCCCGCGGUGCUUGGCGAAGCCCUGCAGGAUUGCCACGCUCCUCCACCACCACCACGCCGUUGUGCUGCUACUGCACGGAGUCUUCCCCAACCUCUCCCUCUCUCCUUGCUGGAUCAAGGCAUGAGAGACGUCACCGAGCUGCAUGUGUGUUGAACACGGAGGUGACGUCCGUUAGGCACUAGGAUCAUCGGUGAUUUGGAUCACGACGAGUACGACUCCAUCAACCCCGUUCACUUGAACGCUUCCACUUAGCGAUCUACAAGGGUAUGUAGAUGCACUCUCCUUCCCCUCGUUGCUAGAUUACUCCAUAGAUUGAUCUUGGUGAUGCAUAGAAAUUUUUUGAUUUCUGCUACGUUCCCCAAUAGUGGUAUCAGAGCCAUGUCUAUGCAUAGUUUCUAUGCACGAGUAGAACACAAGUUGUUGUGGGAGUUGAUUUUGUUCAGUAUGCUUACCGUCACUAGUACAAUCUUGUUUCGACGGUAUUGUGGGAUGAAGCGGCCCGAACCGACCUUACACGUACACUUACGUGAGAUAGGUUCCACCGACUGACAUGCACUUGUUGCAUAAGGUGGCUAGCGGGUGCCAGUCUCUCCCACUUUAGUCGGAUCGGAUUCGAUGAAAAGGGUCCUUAUGAAGGGUAAAUAGCAAUUGACAUAUCACAUUGUGGUUUUGCAUAGAUAAGAAACGUUAUUGCUAGAAACCCAUAGCAGCCACGUAAAACAUGCAAACAACAAUUAGAGGACGUCUAACUUGUUUUUGCAGGGUAUGCUAUGUGAUGUGAUAUGGCCAAAAGUAUGUGAUGAAUGAUAUAUGUGAUGUAUGAGAUUGAUCAUGUUCUUGUAAUAGGAAUCACGACUUGCAUGUCGAUGAGUAUGACAACCGGCAGGAGCCAUAGGAGUUGUCUUAAUUUAUUGUAUGACCUGCGUGUCAUUGAACAACGCCAUGUAAUUACUUUACUUUAUUGCUAAACCGUUAGCCAUAGUAGUAGAAGUAAUAGUUGGCGAGACAACUUCAUGGAGACACGAUGAUGGAGAUCAUGAUGAUGGAGAUCAUGAUGAUGGAGAUCAUGGUGUCAUGCCGGUGACGAUGAUGAUCAUGGAGCCCCGAAGAUGGAGAUCAAAAGGAGCAAAAUGAUAAUGGGCAUAUCAUGUCACUUUUUGAUUGCAUGUGAUGUUUAUCAAGUUUAUGCAUCUUAUUUGCUUAGAACGACGGUAGUAAAUAAGAUGAUCCCUCAUUAAAAUUUCAAGAAAGUGUUCCCCCUAACUGUGCACCGUUGCGAAAGUUCGUUGUUUCGAAGCACCACAUGAUGAUUGGGUGUGAUAGAUUCUAACGUUCACAUACAACGGGUGUAAGCCAGAUUUACACAUGCGAAACACUUAGGUUGACUUGACGAGCCUAGCAUGUACAGACAUGGCCUCAGAACACAAGAGACUGAAAGGUCGAGCAUGAGUCGUAUGGUAGAUACGAUCAACAUGAAGAUGUUCACCGACGAUGACUAGUCCGUCUCACGUGAUCAUCGGACACGGCCUAGUUGACUCAGAUAAUGUAAUCACUUAGAUGACUAGAGGGAUGUCUAUCUGAGUGGGAGUUCAUAAGAUGAACUCAAUUAUCCUGAACAUAGUCAAAAGGUCUUUGCAAAUUAUGUCGUACUCACGCUUUAGUUCUACUAUUUAGAUAUGUUCCUAGAGAAAAUAUAGUUGAAAGUUGAUAGUAGCAAUUAUGCGGACUGGGUCCAUAAACCGAGGAUUGUCCUCGUUGCUAUGCAAAAAGCUUAUGUCCUUAAUGCACCGCCCGGUGUGCUGAACCUCGAACGACGUCUGUGGAUGUUGCGAACAUUUGACAUACACGUUUUGAUAACUACGUGAUAGUUCAGUAAUAUUAAAUGGUUUACAAUUGAGGCACCAAAGACGAUUUCGAAACGUCGCGGAACAUAUGAGAUGUUUUCGAGGGCUGAAAUUGGGAUUUCAGGCCCGUGCCCACGUCAAGAGGUAUAAGACCUCCGAGGAUUUUCUUAGCCUACAAACUAAGGGAGAAAAGCUCAAUCAUUGAGCUUGUACUCAGAUUGUCUGGGUACAACAAUCACUUGAAUCGAGUGGGAGUUAAUCUUCCAGAUGAGAUAGUGAUGUUUCCCCAAAGUCAUUGCACCAAGCUACUAGAGCUUCGUGAUGAACUAUAACAUAUCAGGGAUAGAUAUGAUGAUCCUUGAGAUAUUCGUGAUGUUUGACACCGCGAAAGUAGAAAUCAAGAAGGAGCAUCAAUUGUUGAUGGUUAGUGAAACCACUAGUUUCAAGAAGGGCAAGGGCAAGAAGGGAUACUUCAUGAAACGGCAAAUUCAGCUGCUGGUCUAGUGAAGAAACCCAAGGUUGAACCCAAACCCGAGACUCAGUGCUUCUGUAAUAAAGGGAACAACCACUGGAGCAGAAUUACCCUAGAUACUUGGUAGAUGAGAAGGCUGGCAAGGUCGAUAGAAGUAUAUUGGAUAUACAUUAUGUUAAUGUGUACUUUACUAGUACUCCUAGUAGCACCAGGGUAUUAGAUACCGGUUCGGCUGCUAAGUGUUAGCAACUCGAAAUAAAAGGCUACAGAAUAAACGGAGACUAGCUAAAGGCGAGGUGACGAUGUGUGUUGGAAGUAAUUCCAAGAUUGAUGUGAUCAAGCAUCGCACGCUCUCUGUACCAUCGAGAUUGGUGUUGAACCUAAAUAAUUGUUAUUUGGUGUUUGUGUUGAGCAUAGACAUGAUUGGAUUAUGUCUAUCGCAAUACGGUUAUUCAUUUAAGGAGGAUAAUGGUUACUCUGUUUAUUUGAAUAAUACCUUCAAUGGUCUUGCACCUAAAAUGAAUGGUUUAUUGAAUCUCGAUCGUAGUAAUACACAUGUUCUUGCCAAAAAGAUAUAAGAUAGUAAUGAUAGUACCACCUACUUGUGGCACUGCCAUGUAGGUCAUAUUGGUAUAAAACGCAUGAAGAAGCUCCAUGUUGAUGGAUCUUUGGACUCACUCGUUUUUCAAAAAUUUGAGACAUGCGAACCAUGUCUAUUGGUGUAUAUGCAUGAAGAAACUCCAUGCAAAUGGACCGUUUGGACUCACUUGAUUUUGAAUCACUUGAGACAUGCAAAUCAUACCACAUGGGCAAGAUGACUGAAAGCCUCGUUUUCAGUAAAAUGGAACAAGAAAGCAACUUGUUGGAAGUAAUACAUUUUGAUGUGUGCAGUCCAAUGAGUGUUGAGGCACACAGUGGAUAUCGUUAUGUUCUUACUUCAUGGAUGAUUUGAGUAGAUACUGAGUAUAUUUACUUGAUGAAACACAAGUCUGAAUUAUUGAAUGGUUCAAGUAAUUUCAGAGUGAAGUUGAAAAUCAUCGUGACAAGAGGAUAAAAUGUCUAUGAUAUGAUCAUAGAGAUGAGUAUCUGAGUUACGAGCUUUGGCACGCAAUUAAGACAUUGUGGAAAUUUUUUCACAAUUAAUACCGCCUGGAACACCAUAGUGUGAUGGUGUGUCCAAACAUCAUAGUUGCACCCUAUUGGAUAUGGUGCGUACCAUGAUGUCUCUUAUCGAAUUACCACUAUCGUUCAUGGGUUAGGCAUUAGAGACAACCGCACUCACUUUAAUAGGGCACCACGUAAUUCCGUUGAGACGACACCGUUUGAACUAUGGUUUGGAGAAACCUAAGUUGUCGUUUCUUAAAAGUUUGGGGUUGCGACGCUUAUGUGAAAAAGUUUUAGGUUGAUAAGCUCGAACCCAAAGCGGAUAAAAUGCAUCUUCAUAGGACACCCAAAACAGUUGGGUAUACCUCUUAAUUCAGAUCCGAAAGCAAUAGGGAUUGUUUCUUGAAUCGGGUCCUUUCUCGAGGAAAAGUUUGUCUCAAAAAUUGAGUGGGAGGAUGGUGGAGACUUGAUGAGGUUAUUGAACCGUCACUUCAACUAGUGUGUAGCAGGGCAAAGGAAGUUGUUCCUGUGGCGCCUACACCAAUUGAAGUAGAAACUUAUGAUAAUGAUCAUGAAGUUUUGGAUCAAGUCACUACCGUACCUCGUAGGGUGAUAAGGAUGCGUACUACUUCAAAGUGGUACAGUAAUCCUGUCUUGAAGGUCAUGUUGCUAGACAACAAUGAACCUACGAGCUAUGGAAAAGCGAUGGUGGGCCCAUAUUCCGACAAAUGGUUAGAAGCAAUUAAAUCCAAGAUAGGAUCCAUGUAUCAGAACAAAGCAUGGACUUUGGUGGACUUGCCCGAUGAUCGGCAAGCCAUUGAGAUAAAUGGAUUUUUAAGAAGAAGACGGACGUGGACGGUAAUGUCACCGUCUAUGAAGCUCAACUUGUGGUGAAGAGUUUUUCACAAGUUCAAGGAGUUGACUACGAUGAGAUUUUCUCAUCCGUAGCGAUGCUUAAGUCCGUCGGAAUCAUGUUAGCAUUAGCUGCAUUUAUAAAAUCUGGCAGAUGGAUGUCAAAACGAGUUUCCUUACCAGUUUUUGUAAGGAAAGAUUGUAUGUGAUACAAUCAGAAAGGUUUUGUCGAUCCUAAGGAUGCUAAAAGGUAUGCUAGCUCCAGCGAUCCUUCCAUGGACUAGAGUAAGCAUCUCGGAGUUGGAAUAUACACUUCGAUAAGAUGAUCAAAGAUUUUGGGUUUAUACAAAGUUUAUGAGAAACUUGUAUUUCCAAAGGAGUGAGUGGGAGCACUAUAGAAUUUCUGAUGAGUAUAUGUUGUUGACAUAUUGUUGAUCAGAAAUGAUGUAGAGUUUCUGGAAAGCAUAUAGGGUUAUUUGAAAAGUGUUUUUCAAGGGAAAACCUGGAUUAAGCUACUUGAACAUUGAGCAUCAAGAUCUAUAAGGAUUGAUCAAAAACCGCUUAAUGGUACUUUCAAAUGAGCAUAUACCUUGACAUGAUCUUGAAGGUGUUCAAGAUGGAUCAGUCAAAGAAGGAGUUCUUGCCUGAGAUGUAAGGUAUGAAGUUAAGACUUAAAGCUCGACCACGGUAGAAAAGAGAGAAAGGACGAAGGUCGUCCCCUAUGCUUUAGACGUAGGCUCUACACUAUGCUAUGUUGUGUACCGCACCUGAUGUGUGCCUUGCUACAUAUCUGGCAAGAGGGUACAAAGGUCAUCAAGGAGUGGAUCACCAGAUAGCGGUCAAAAUUAUCCUUAGAGGAAUAAGGAUAUGUUUCCCGGUUAUGGAGGUGAUAAAGAGUUCAACGUAAAGAGUUGCGUUGAUGCAAGCUUUAACACCUAUCCGAAUGACUCUGAGUAGCAAACCGGGUACGUAUAGUGUAGCGACCAUUUGGAAUAGCUCCAAGUGGAGCGUGGAAGCAGUAUUUACAAUAUGACCUAGAGAUUUGCGAAGUACAUACGGAUCUGAAUGUUGCAGACCCAUUGACUAAAACCUCUCUCACAAGCAAAACAUGAUCAAACCCCAGAACUCAUUGAGUCGUAAUCACAUGAUGAUGUGAACUAGUUUGGUGACACUAGUAAACUCUUUGGAUGUUGGUCACAUGGCGAUGUGACAUGUGAGUGUUAAUCACAUGGCGAUGUGAACUAGAUUAUUGACUCUAGUGCAAGUGGGAGACUGUUGGAAAUAUGCCCUAGAGGCAAUAAUAAGUUAGUUAUUAUUAUUAUAUUUCCUUGUUCAUGAUAAUCGUUUAUUAUCCAUGCUAUAAUUGUAUUGAUAGGAAACUCAGAUACAUGUGUGGGUACAUAGACAACACCAUGUCCCUAGUAAGCCUCUAGUUGACUAGCUCGUUGAUCAAUAGAUGGUUACGGUUUCCUGACCAUGGACAUUGGAUGUCAUUGAUAACGGGAUCACAUCAUUAGGCGAAUGAUGUGAUGGACAAGACCCAGUCCUAAGCCUAGCACAAAGAUCGUGUAGUUCGUAUGCUAAAGCUUUUCUAAUGUCAAGUAUCAUUUCCUUAGACCAUGAGAUUGUGCAACUCCCGGAUGCCGUAGGAAUGCUUUGGGUGUACCAAAUAUCACAACGUAACUGGGUGGCUAUAAAGGUACACUACGGGUAUCUCCAAAAGUGUCUGUUGGGUUGGCACGAAUCAAGACUGGGAUUUGUCACUCCGUGUGACGGAGAGGUAUCUCUGGGCCCACUCGGUAGGACAUCAUCAUAAUGUGCACAAUGUGACCAAGGGGUUGAUCACGGGAUGAUGUGUUACGGAACGAGUAAAGAGACUUGCCGGUAACGAGAUUGAACAAGGUAUCGGGAUACCGAUGAUCGAAUCUCGGGCAAGUACAAUACCGCCAGACAAAGGGAAUUGAAUACGGGAUUGAUUGAAUCCUCAACAUUGUGGUUCAUCCAAUGAGAUCAUCGUGGAACAUGUGGGAGCCAACAUGGGUAUCCAGAUCUCGCUGUUGGUUAUUGGCCGAAGAGUUGUCUCGGUCAUGUCUACAUGUCUCCCGAACCCGUAGGGUCUACACACUUAAGGUUCGAUGAUGCUAGGGUUAUAGGGAAUAGAUGUACGUGGUUAUCAAAUGUUGUUCGGAGUCCCGGAGGUCACGAGGAGUUCCGGAAUGGUCCGGAGGUAAAGAUUUAUAUAUGGGAAGUCCUGUUUUGGUCACUGGAAAAGUUUCCGGUGCUAUCGAUAAUGUACCGGGACCACCGGGAGGGUCCCGGGGGUCCACCAAGUGGGGCCACCGGCCCCACAGGGCAGCAUGGGCCAAGUGUGGGAGGGGACCAGCCCCAGGUGGGCUGGUGCGCCCCCCCCCCACCAAGGCCCAAGGCGCCUAGGGUUUGGGGAGGGGGCGCCUCCACCUUACUUGGGGGGCAAGUUUCCCCCUCUUCCCCCCUUGGCCUCCACCCUAGAUGGGUUUUGGGGCUGCCGCACCCCUUGGGGUGGGAACCCUAGAGGGGGCGCAGCCCCCUCCCUCUCCCCUAUAUAUAUUUGAGGUCUUUGGGGCUGCAAACACAUGAGUUUCUCCUCCCCCUGGCGUAGCCCUACCUCUCUCCCUCCUCCUCUCCCGCGGUGCUUGGCGAAGCCCUGCAGGAUUGCCACGCUCCUCCACCACCACCACGCCGUUGUGCUGCUGCUGGACGGACUCUUCCCCAACCUCUUCCUCUCUCCUUACUGGAUCAAGGCAUGGGAGACGUCACCGGGCUGCAUGUGUGUUGAACACGGAGGUGCCGUCCGUUCGGCACUAGGAUCAUCGGUGAUUUGGAUCACUCCAUCAACCCCGUUCACUUGAACACUUCCGCUUAGCGAUCUACAAGGGUAUGUAGAUGCAGUCUCCUUCCCCUCGUUGCUAGAUUACUCCAUAGAUUGAUCUUGGUGAUGCGUAGAAAUUUUUUGAUUUCUGCUACGUUCCCCAACAAUUCCGUCGCUGGCCGGUGUGGCGCGUCUGCCAGCGCGGAUCCCGGUGCGGAUCUGCUGGACCGCAGCUGGUUCGGCGCCGAUCCUAAGGAGGAUUUGUUCCCCAAAUCUGGACAUAGCCACUAUGGCACUUGGGAGCCAUUUUCCUCAUCAUUUUUUUCGCUGGUUGUUCCUGCAACGUCACAAGAGAACUCGGGUGCACCAUUAGGAGGGUUAGUCGGCAUUGAAUCAUCACAAGUAAUUCCCCCAUGAUCAAGGCCAGUGAGAGAAGAGGGUAGGAGUAGAAUUUCUUUGCGAAGUAAAGCACCGGCGUUGGGAUGAAUAUCAGUGAAAGGAAACUUUGUUUCGUCAAAAACAACAUCACGGGAGAUAUAAACUCGCCCCGUAGACACAUCUAGGCACUUGACACCUUUGUGUUGGCACUAUACCCAAGAAAUACACAUUGCUUUGAUUGAAACAUAAGUUUGCAUUGAUUGUAUGGAUGAAGAUUAGGCCAACAUGCACACCCAAAAACACGAAGAGACGUGUAGUCAGGUUUGGUGUGGAGUAGCCAUUCUACUGGAGUUUCAUUAUUGAUAACGUGACUAGGAAGCAUGUUAAUGAUGUGAACGGCAGUGAGAAAGGCUUCAUCCCAGAAUUUUAAAGGCAUGGAGGCGCCAGCUAAGAGAGCUAGGCCGACCUCAACAAUGUGCCUGUGCUUGUGUUCAGCAGAGCCGUUUUGUGGGUGAGCGUGGGGGCACGACACAUGGUGAGAUAUGCCGAGAGUUUGAAAGAAAGAAUUUAAUUUCUCAUACUCUCCACCCUAGUCUGAUUGGACAGCAAGUAUCUUGCUGUCAAAUUAGCGUUCAAUGAGUGCUUGAAAGUUCUUAAAAACUUGAAAGACAUCAGAUCUUUUCUUAAGAAGAUAAAUCCAGGAAAAUUUAUUGUAGUCAUCAAUGAAACUUACGUAGUACAUAUGUCUACCUACUGAGUUGGGGGCAGGACCCCAAACAUCUGAGAAAAUUAAUUGCAAUGGUUUGGUAGACACACUAGUGGAUAUAGGAUAGGGUAGCUGAUGACUCUUAGCUCGUUGACAGGAAUCACAAAUAGUUUCAAUAUUGCGCUCACCAACAAACGGGAGCUUAUUCUUUCGAAGUAAUUUUUCAACUAAAGAAAAAGAAGCAUGUCCUAGACGAUCAUGCCAUCGUGUGGAUGAAAGCUUGAUAGCACCACAAGCUUGUGUAUUCAGUCUCCUAAGCUCCGGAAUCAACAGGUAGAGUCCACGAACACAUCUACCUCGAUAGAGAAUUCUCUUCAUCACCUGAUCCUUGAUCAAAAAGAAGUAAGGGUGAAACUCAAGGAAGACAUGAUUAUCAAGAGCAAUUCUAUGGACAGAGAGAAGACUUUUGUCGGCAUUAGGAACAUGCAAAAAUUUCCUAAGAUGGAUUUUACGAGAAGGGGUACUAAAACUUGAAUGACCAAUGUGACUGAUCUCCAUACCUUCACCACUAGCCGUGUUUGUAGGAGAUAUGCCCUAGAGGCAAUAGUAAAUGAUAUUAUUUAUCUCCGUGUUCAUAAUUAUGUUUAUGUUCCAUGCUAUAACUGCUAUGGUUCUCGAGUCUGCAAUAACACGAGGCUCAGAGGAAGACUCAUAUGUGCGUGUGGAAUAAUAAACGGUAAGAAGUAUUCUUAGUCUGGCCUCUAAGACUAGCUGAAGUGUUGCAUGAUGGUUCUGUUUUCCUGAUCAUGGGCAUGUCAAUGCCAACAACUUUGAGGGCACAAUGUUAAGAGAACAUUUGUGUUGAAUCGACCCGGAUUGAUGUUAUGCUAUGAGAUUCAUUCGUCACAAGUUAAUGGUACAUAACACAGAGAUGAUUAACGUUUGCAUGAUUCCUUAGACCAUGAUAGUAUCGAGUUUCUUCAUGCUUGCUUCAUGAACUUUGGGGUUUGUUAAACGUCAUCCGUAAAUGGGUGGCUAUUACGGCGGCUUACGGGUUCAUGGAAAAGUAUGUCAAGUAACUUGAUAUCUCAAGAUUGGGAUUUGCUCCUCUGACAAUGGAGAGAUAUUCUCGGGCCCUCUCGGUGUUACGGUAUCCAUCAUCGUCUGGCCAAACACAGUGUGAUUUGAUCACAGGGAUGCCAGAACACGGACACGAGAAAAGAGAACAAAACCAGUAAUGAGGUAAUUAGCAUAGUGGACAAGUUGUUGAUCCAUGGGGAUGCAAGUAAAUCUCACCUCGGGUCUUUGUAACAUAUUGCGAAGCAACAGGAAUAGCAAACGGCAACUGGAGGUUCACUCGUGUAUUCAUUCGUGUGGGUAUAGGGGUUAAUAUGGGUGUCCACGGCUCCGAUGUUGAUCAUUGAUCGAAAAGUGUUCCGGUCAUGUCUAUGCUUCACCGAACCUAUAGGGUCACACGCUUAAGGGUCAUCUAUCUGCUGAAUACUAGACAUGGAGUCUGAGAGAAAUUUGCCGAAAAAGUUUCAGAGACAAUGGAAGAGUUCCGGAGAGAGAAUAGCGAAAUAGUUUCGUAACACCGAAAAGUUGUUUCGUGAUAUACCAUUAAGUCAAAUUGGUUUCCGGACAUGCCUGAUAAUUCUUGGAGGGUGCCAGAAUUAUUCUGGAAACUUAUGGGAAUUUUUGGGGAUAAAAAACGAAAAUGUUUCGGAGCUACCGGUACCGCUUUGGUUGUUUUUCGCAGAUGAAAUUCACUAAUCUGAAAUUGUUUUAGAACAAAUCCAAAAUCAUUUUAGUGGGUACUGUAAUUAUUCUAAGAUCCACAGAAAUAUUUUCGGAUUUAAUGGACGCGAAAAAUUGUCUUCAUGAAUAGUGAAAACGCAUUCUUGUUUGCUUUUCACAGAUGAAAAUCACUAAACAGAAAUUGUUUCGGAACGCGUUGAAAAUUGUUUUAGUGGGUACUGGAAAUGUUUUGAGCCCACAUAAAUAUUUUCAAUUCGAACGGACGCUGAAAAUUGUCCUCAUGAAUAGUGAAAGUGCUUUUUUCUUGGCUUCUUGGAGAAGCCACCUUGAGGGCCUUUUGGUAUUAUCCCCUUGGCUUCUUGGAGAAGCCACCCUUGGGCUUGGCCUAUAAAUAGGGGUGGAGGGGGCUGCCUAAAGAUACACUCUUUCUCACAUACAAGUGCCAUUGCAAUGAUCUGGCUUCUCUCUCCCUCGCAGCGAAAUAGUUUCAUAGAGCCGAAAGGUUGUCUGGGUUCUGGCAGGAACUAGUUCUGGACGGCGAAGCCCUGCCGGAUAGGUGACACCAUAUGUGUGCAAAUCUGUAGAGAGGUCAUAGUUUCGAUCUUAGUGCCCGAGAGGCUGUUCCAGAGUGCCUCCCGAAGGGCUGUCCAAGUGACGGUCCGAGUUCUGUGGGUCCUCCCGAAGGGCUGUCCGCGACACCGUCCGGGGGACUGUUCGACUGCCUCCCGGAGGGCUGUCCGAGGGGCGGAUGAGGGAGUACAUCCUCGCGGUUGGGAGGUUGUAAAUCCUAGCUGCGGGGAUCUGCACCGACGAUUGUCAUCAACUCUACUUCCGUUGCGCUAUGAGUCGGUAACAAAAAUGAUCAAACCUUGUAUGCAGUCUCCAUAGUGGUCCUGGGCUGGUGCGUAGGUCAGAAUUUUUUUGUUUUCUGUCGUGUUCCCCUACAGUGGCAUCAUGAGCCGUGCUAUGCGUAGAUGCAGGUUGCGAUCUAUAAUACAUGGAGAUGUAUGGGUGUUGCACAAUAAUAAUUAGGUAGUAGUUCUAUUAUUGAAAAUUAUUUGUGUGGGUAGAAGAUGAAAUCUGUUACCCGAUAUUGUUGUUGCUUCCCUUAAAUUUGUGUAGUCCUGAUCUUGACAGCAUUGUGGAAUCUGACAAAGUUCUGGCAAUCCGCGAGCCUUUCAUGCUGCUCCUGAGCAUGCUGAUUGACAGAUCAACGAAGUGCUAACAGUUCUUUGGGUUCCACUUUAGUCAAAGAAAGAUGGAUGUUUUGCAGACUAAAGGGUAAUGCAGAUAUGAUCUGCACGGGGGUCAUGCGUAUGACGAAGUUCAGUGUGGGGCUCGAGAUUUCAUUAUCUCGUGUUUCAUACACCCCGAUAAGUUAAUCUAGCGCUUGAAUUAUCAUACUUGAUGAUGGAUGUUGGUAACUUCGGUUUGUUUCGAAACCUUAGAAGCCACGUAAAACAAGUUUUUGCAUGAACCGAUUAGAGACGUCUAACUUGGUUUUGCAGGAGGGUUUGCAUGUGCAUAUGAUGUGGUAUAGCAGUGCUCGUAAUAAUUUGAUUAUGUAUGAGAUGUCUAUAUGAUGUAAAUUGAUUAACAUGACAUGCGUGUCAUGAUUUGGCAUGAUGGUUGGAGCCAUAUGAUUGCACUUUAAAUGACCUGCAUAUCAACCGUGUGUAAUGCAUUAUUUUAUUAGCUAUAGAGAUAACAAUAUUAUCUGGCACAUCGACAAGGUGGUGGCAAUCUUCGCGAAGAUGAACACCGACGCGAACGCCGAAAGACGAAGAAAUACAAGACUUCUCCGUCAUAAAGGGCUAUACCAUAUCAUGCUAAUUAUGAAUUGCCUGAAAUGCUUAUCCCUUAUGAUGCACCCUUCUUGAUUGCGUGGUAGUCGCUUUUAUUAGGGUGAUCUCUCACAAAAAUAUCAAGUAGUUAGUGUUCUCCCAAGUGUAGCACUGUCACGGCACCUAACUUUUCGGGGUAUCGCAGGAUCUCCCUGGGUACGAACGAUUAGGGAAGUGUGAGGCAGGUGAGUUGAGACCUCGCAGCAAGAUCACUUGGUUGUCUUGACAUUCUGGAAGGAUCUCCCUGAGCUCGGAACACGCCCAUCGAAAGAUGAACAAGAGUCACAUAGAGAUGUGAUCGGCAAGUUUGCCUACCGAUUGAAUUUCGUGCCAUCAGUGUUCAUCUCGUUCAAUGGCUUUGAAUGGAUAUGCGGGUCUUGUGUCACUCAUAAUCAAUUUUGAGAGAUAUUGAUUUGAGUGGGAGCGCACUGUUGAAUUAACAUGUUUAAUUCUCAGUGCAAUUAAUUAUGAACACUGUCUAAGUGUUUCUUGCAAAAUAGUUGUAGAAUAAUGGCUCGCUUUUUCACCUUCCCUGUUAAAAUUGAAUAGCUGUUAAAUAUCUGGUUAAAACUUUACGAUUGGUAACGUAAUGUGAGGAUUGUCCUCAAAAGUGCCGAGAAGGACUUUGUCCUAUCGCAUGCUUUCCGUAUCCUCCCGUUAAUGCUAUGGAUCAUGUGACUCUCGUCCUUCAAUCCAAAAGCUAGAAUUCUGUUUCGGUCAAGUGGAAUAUGUUUGCUUCCAUGAAACCCAAACUUUGAAAGUUGGGAUAGUUAUAUGAUAUUCAUGGAACUGAAAAUUAUUUUCAGAUACAAACAAAGCAAUGUUUGUUUGCAAGUAUUAGUAAAAGUGUUUAACAUGCAUUUGACUGUUGGGAAAGGGAUCCAGAAGAACGCCUGUCAUAUAAUAAAAGGUGAAUAAAACAACAACUUAAAGAGAAAGGAAGUGUCCAAAGGGUGUUAGUAUGACUUACACGCCUAGGAAGUCCGGGGCUAACGCCACUCUUAAGUUAGGUGCUUCUUUUGCGAGUAGGAGAAAUACUAAAAGUUAAACUGUUAGAAGUAUAAAGGCAGAAAGAAAGAUGACUGGAAUAUCCAGCUCAUGUAUGAAUGUCAUACAAGUUUUUGAUGUAUAGUAGUCUGGUCAAAGAUAUAGUUCUUGGGAAUUAUGGUUAAACAUGUUAAUCACUAAUUCUUGGGUAUUGUGAGUUAAUCACAAAGAUACCCGCUCGAUUGCAUUCUCUUGCGAAUCAAGGUAAGAGCUACUAUGGCCUGAAAGACUAGCCAGAAAUGAGGUUAUGGUAUACACAGGGAACAUGGUAAAUGUUACUAUACCUUCCAUCGGUGUAUUGUUGUCUGUAUUUAUUUUCAUAAUUCAUUUAGAGUUUUACAAACUCUAGCCCAUUGCAUAAGGUAUCUUGCAAGAAGGUUGUUCAUAAGAGAACUUUUUAUGUUCGAUGUUAUGAAUAACACAAGGGCCAUACUUUCAUUAUGAAUGAGAUGUAUGUUAUGAAUAUUGAUAAUAAUACAAUACCUCUAGGUUUACUUUCAUAAUUCAUUUUAGAGUUUCAUACACUCUAGCCCAUUGCACAAUGUUUGUUGCAAAAGAGUUAUUCAUAAAAACAACAAUUGUUGGUAAGUAUUAUGAAUAACAUGAAGGGCCAUGCUUCCAUCCAAGAUGGGAUGUAUGUUAUGAAUAUUGAUGGUAAUAUGAUACAUCCAUAACACUGACGCUAAAUGUCGCAAGACUAAAAGAAUACUACACAAGUGUGGCACUACAUUUGGUCACAUUGGAGAAACCCGCAUGGAAAAUUCCAUUAUGAUGGAUUUUGAAGUCUUUUUGAUUUUGAAUCAUCUGACACUUGCAACUUUCCUCCGAAAAGUGAAGUGACUGAAAUACCGUUCACAGGACAUAAGGAACGAGCAACAAACUUAUUGGUGAUCAUACAUUUUGAUGUGUGUAGUUCAAUAAAUGUUGUUGCAAGUAGUGGACUUAUAUAUCUUCAGAAAUGACUCAAGUAGAUAUAUGGAUAUUUGCUUGAUGAGACGUAAGUCUGGAUCUUUUGAAAUCAUUCGAAAGGUUUUCAAAAAUGAAGUACAAGUUAUUGUAACAAGGAAAUUAUGUUUCUACAAUUUGAUUGCGGAAAGGAAUAUCUGAGUUACAAGUUUAGCGAAUGUCUGAUGAGUUGUGAAAAGAGUUUCAUAACUUACAACUCCAGGAACACCACUAUGAGUGGAAUGUCUGUGAAGAUGCAAUCAAAACAUUUAUGACAUGGUAAGAUCAAAGAUGACAUAAAUAAAUUUGCCAUUAUCACUUUUAAAGAGUAAUGCUUUAGAGACUGCGGCUUUUACACUGAAAAGAGCUCCAUCAGGUCUGUUGAAAUGACGACAUGGUAUGGUACGCGCAACCAUGUUAUAUCUUUUCUUAACAUUUGGAAUAUGGGGCUUGUGUAAAAGGUUACAAACCUAUUCCAAAUCAGACAAGUGCUACUUUGUAAGUUAUCCCAAGUCAUUGGGUAUUCCCCCACCACUAUACCGAGGCAAAGGAUUUUUGCCACAAAACGAUAUGCUUUUAAAGAGAAUAGUUGUUGCAAAAGGGUAAGUGGGAGGACAGUGCAACUCGACGAGAUAACAAGUAUCUUCGUCAUCAGGUCAAAGGAAAGGAACCUAGGAAGUAAUUCUAGAGUUUCCUACUGCGACUGAUACGGAAGCCUCUACAUUAGAUGUAUGGGCUUCGGUCGAACUUGUAGCUGAAUAACAUAGGCAAAGCUCGUGCAAACCUCUCAGGUGCACAAACGAGAUAUUGUUGUUAGACAAUAGUAUAUGUAUGAUACACAAGGAAGUGUUGAUGGGCCCUGACUCCGGAAUUGGCUGAAUGCCAAUAUAAUCCGAGAUAGUUUCCAUAAAUGAUUCAAGAUUUAAAUCUUGAUAAACCCUUUGAAAGACUUGGAGUCUAGCGGAUUGUAAUGGGACUAUAAACUGAUAUGGAUAAAAAUGUUUUAUCCAUUAAGCUUGACUUGUUGCAAUAACAAGUUCAAGGAGUUGACUACAAUGAGAUUGUCUCACCGUAGCAAUGCUUAAAGUCGGUUUGGGUUAAACUAGCAAUUAAUACAUAUUUCAAACAUGAGAUAUGCAACAUGGAUGACAAAAUAAUUUCCAUGAAAUGGAAAUACAACCUAGGACUUGUAUGUGAUACAGUACAAAGUAUUUUGUCAGUCCAGAGUAUGCUAGUAAGUAUGCAAACUUCAGAGUUCCAGCAAUGGACAGAAGAGAGCAAAAUGGAGUUGGAAUCUUCGUUUUUGAUGGAAUGGUCAAAGGGGUUUGACUUCAUCAAUGAGUAACGAAGAUGCUUGUGGUUUCAAGAAAGUAAGUGGGAGCGUAAUAAUAUUUCUAAAAACCUUGUGUGCUUGACACAUUGUUAAUUGGAAAUAAAUUUCUUGACACGAAUUAGGACUUCAUUUGAAAAUAGUUUUUUGAUGAAGUACUUAGGCUAAAUAGCCUCAAUAUUAGGCAUAAUGAUCUAUGGAGAUAGAUUUACCUAAUAGGGCUAAGCAAUAAAUACAUAUUGACAAGAUGAUAAAACCGUUUAGCACUAAGAACGACAAGGAGUGAUUCUUGCCGAAGUCACAUGGAAAGAGUUUUUGCAAGAAUCGGUGUCCCAAAACACUGAUGAGCAAAAUACAUGAUGCAGAUUCCACACACUUUUGUGUUUGGAUUAAUCAUGUAUUCCAUGGUAUGUAAAACAACUAGAUAUGUUCGAUACUCCCAAGGUGUUGCGAGUAUAGAUACUAAAGUGAUCAAAGUACUGAUCAUGGGACAACAGUGAAAGAUGUCAUUGAGUACUAGAGUAAGUACUGAUGAUAUGUUUUCUUACAAGCGGAGAUCAUGAAGAGUUCGUUGUAAAAUGUUACAUCGAUACAGUCUUCAUCUUUUCUCCAUGCGAUUUUCGAUUUAAGUUAAGGGUUUUGUGUAAUACACAAUAUGGUGGCACGGUAGUUGGAAAUUGUUCCGAACAGGAUACUGUGGCGAAUUCUAUAACAAAUGACUAAGUAUGUUGACGCUUUAGAAGCGACAAACAAGAUGUUGAAUCAUAUAGUUCAUUCAUGAACUUAGUAUGGUUCCAAGAAGGCUUUGGUCAAUGGGAAACUAUUGCAGAUAGUUGCUCCAUAGCUCAGUCUGAGGAAUCAGGUUUCGACCAAUGAUUCACAUAUAUACAAAGCCAAGUCCGCACAAAAUAUGAAUUUUGUGAAAGCGUGAAAAUGCGAGGAUAUGCAGAGAUACACAAGGAGCUGAAGUUUCCAGAUCCGAUGGACAUCAGGCUAUACCACAUGCAUUUUUUACACCAAUAUGCCAUAGGUGUAAAGUGCAUUAGCAUUAACUAGAUUAUUGACUCUAGUGCAAGUGGGAGUCUGUAGGAGAUAUGCCCUAGAGGCAAUAAUAAAUGAUAUUAUUUAUCUCCAUGUUCAUAAUUAUGUUUAUGUUCCAUGCUAUAACUGCUAUGGUUCUCGAGUCUGCAAUAACGCGAGGCUCGAAGGAAGACUCAUAUGCGCGUGUGGAAUAAUAAACGGUAAGAAGUAUUCUUAGUUUGGCCUCUAAGACUAGCUCAAGUGUUGCAUGAUGGUUCUAUUUUCCUGAUCAUGGGCAUGUCAAUGCCAGCAACUUUGAGGGCACAAUGUUAAGAGAACAUUUGUGUUGAAUCGACCCGGAUUGAUGUUAUGCUAUGAGAUUCAUUCGUCACAAGUUAAUGGUACAUAACACAGAGAUGGUUAACGUUUGCAUGAUUCCUUAGACCAUGAGAGUAUCGAGUUUCUUCAUGCUUGCUUCAUGAACUUUGGGGUUUGUUAAACGUCAUCCGUAAAUGGGUGGCUAUUAUGGCGGCUUACGGGUUCAUGGAAAAGUAUGUCAAGUAACUUGAUAGCUCAAGAUUGGGAUUUGCUCCUCCGACAAUGGAGAGAUAUUCUCGGGCCCUCUCGGUGUUACGGUAUCCAUCAUCGUCUGGCCAGACACAGUGUGAUUUGAUCACAGGGAUGCCGGAACACGGAAACAAGAAAAGAGAACAAAACCAGUAACAAGGUAACUAGCAUAGUGGACAAGUUGUUGAUCCACGGGGAUGCAAGUAAAUCUCACCUCGGGUCUUUGUAACAUAUCGCGAAGCAAGAGGAAUAGCACACGACAAUUGGAGGUUCACUCGAAUAUUCAUUCGUGUGGGUAUAGGGGUCAAUAUGGGUGUCCACGGCUCCGAUGUUGAUCAUUGAUCGAAAAGUGUUCCGGUCAUGUCUAUGCUUCACCGAACCUAUAGGGUCACACGCUUAAGGGUCAUCUAUCUGCUAAAUACUAGACAUGGAGUCUGAGAGAAAUUUGCCGAAAAAGUUUCGGAGACAAUGGAAGAGUUCCGGAGAGAGAAUAGAGAAAUAGUUUCGUAACACCGAAAAGUUGUUUCGUGAUAUACCAUUAAGUCAAAUUGGUUUCGGGACAUGCCUGAUAAUUCUUGCAGGGUGCCAGAAUUAUUCUGGAAACUUCUGGGAAUUUUUGGGGAUAAAAACCAAAAAUGUUUCGGAGCUGCCGGUACCGCUUUGGUUGUUUUUCGCAGAUGAAAUUCACUAAUCUGAAAUUGUUUCAGAACAAAUCCAAAAUCAUUUUAGUGGGUACUGGAAUUAUUCUAAGAUCCACCGAAAUAUUUUCGGAUUUAAUGGACGCGAAAAAUUGUCUUCAUGAAUAGUGAAAACGCAUUCUUGUUUGCUUUUCGCAGAUGAAAAUCACUAAACCAGAAUUAUUUCGGAACGCGUUGAAAAUUGUUUUAGUGGGUACUGGAAAUGUUCUGAGCCCACAUAAAUAUUUUCAAUUCGAACGGACGCUGAAAAUUGUCGUCAUAAAUAGAGUGCUUUUUGCUUGGCUUCUUGGAGAAGCCACCUUGAGGGCCUUUUGGUAUUAUCCCCUUGGCUUCUUGGAGAAGCCACCCUUGGGCUUGGCCUAUAAAUAGGGGUGGAGGGGGCUGGCUAAAGAGACACUCUUUCUCACAUACAAGUGCCAUUGCAAUGAUCUGGCUUCUCUCUCCCUCGCAGCAAAAUAGUUUCGUAGAGCCGAAAGACUGUCUGGGUUCCGACAGGAACUAGUUCUGGACGGCGAAGCCCUGCCGGAUAGGUGACACCGUAUGUGUGCAACUCUAUAGAGAGGUCGUAGUUUCGAUCUUAGUGCUCGAGGGGCUGUUCGAGAGUGCCUCCCAAAGGGCUGUCCAAGUGACGGUCCGAGUUCUAUGGGUCCUCCCGAAGGGCUGUCCGCGACACCGUCCAGGGGGCUGUUCGACUACCUCCCGGAGGGCUGUCUGAGGGGCAGAUGAGGGAGUACAUCCUCGCGGUUGGGAGGUUGUAAAUCCUAGCUGCGGGGAUCUGCACCGACGAUCGUCAUCGACUCUACUUCCGUUGUGCUACGAGUCGGUAACGAAAAUGAUCAAACCUUGUAUGCAGUCUCCAUAGUGGUCCUGGGCUGGUGCGUAGGUCGGAAAUUUUUUGUUUUCUGUCGCGUUCCGUUACAGUGUGGAUUUGGUCCUUGCCGUGGUAUUUCUCCUUCAUGGUCACCUUCUCGAGCUCGUUGGUGAUGUGGUUGGUGGCACCGCUGUCGAUGUACCAGUUGGUGUCGAUUCCAUAGGAGCUAUCUGCAGCCACCGCCAUGUUGUCAUCAUGUUGAGAGGAAUCGUCGUCCUCUUCGUAGCGGUACCAACAAUCUUUUGCUGUGUGCCCCAACUUGCCACAUAUCUGGCACCGUGGGGCAUCAGGACGUGCGCGAGGAUUGCCGCCCCCGCGGCGAGAUCUGUUGCUGGUGGGAGCACGCCCGCUGUUGCGGGAGUUGGAGCCGCCGUCGUUGCCUCCUCCAUUGGACCUCCCCAGGCCACGGGAGAAGCCACCACGUCGAGAGGAGCCACCACGUCCACGAGAGGCCGAGUUCACGGAGGACUUGAAGCCGCCACCGCCGUUCCCGUGGAAGUGCACCAUCCGCUGAUCGAAGUUGGAGAGCAUGGCGAAGAGCUCGACGAUGGUGACGGGGUGACGCGAGCAUCCAGGGCAGAGAUCAGCGGCUGGUAGUCGGCGUUGAGCCCGUGGAUGAUGCAGAAUAUGAGCUCAUCGUCGAGGAUCGCCUUGCCCGCCGCGGCCAACUCGUCGGCAUAGCCGCGCAUGGUGGCAAAGUAGGAGGCGACGGAGUGGUUUCCCUUCUACGCAUUGAUUAGAGAAGUACGGAUGUUGUUGAUGCGACUCACCGAUUGCGAUGAAUACAUGCCAGCGAGCGUCGUCCAGACGCGGUGGUGACCGUGGUCACCGUGAGGAGCACCUCCUUCGUGAGGUUGCUCAACAGGUAGCCAAGGACCUGCUGGUCCUCCCGGACCCAGAUUGGGUGGAGAGGGUUGGGCUUUGAAGUCGCCUUGCCUUCUUUGUCGGUGGUGACGAGGAGCUUUGCCGGCUCCGGCUGGGUGCCGUCGACGUAGCCGAAGACCACGGCGCCACGCAGUUGGGGUAUGAUCUGCGUGCGCCAUAGCACGUAGUUCGUGCGGGAUAGCUUCUCGGCGACCUGCCCAUUGAGACUAGGCUGGAAGGAAGCGCCGGAGGAGGAAGACAUGGUGUGGCUUCGACACAGGUGGUUCUGGUAGCUAGAUGAGUUGAAGAAGAGAGGCUCUGAUUACCAUGUGCGAGCGGUAAACGUCUUGCCCUUGUCGAGGGCGACGUGUUCACAUUAUAUAGCAGGGGAGCCAAAACCCUAGAUGGCUUACAUGCGGUUUGAGAGAGAGAUAAGAGAGAAUCUAGGAUACAUCUUGUGAGAGAAGAAAGGAGGAGAUGGUUACAAGAAUAUCUCAAUACAAACUACCUCCUAGCCUUAUCUCUAAUAAGCAUAGCCUUAUCUCUAAUAUUCUGCAUAUGAUGGUGUUUAACACACAUAACUAUCUAGCCAAACGUGAUUUACUUAACGGAAAGCUCUAAUUAUUACUAAAUGCAUUGCUUCCACCAAAUGUUGUAACACCUUCCCCCAAAUGCACACGGUCAUCUCUUUUUGUUUUUCAAAAUGCAUUGCUUAGGCCGAAGUGUUUGGCGGAAGGUGCAUGCAUUGGCGGAAUAUCGCUUGGAGCACUGAUGAAGAUCUUAUCGAUGUACUACUUACAAUGAGCUUGUACCGAUGUAACUCCUUAUAACAACCUAUGCCUCCGCCAUGAUCGCCCCCCUCCAUGCCAAGAGAGGCAUAGAGAUGGCCAGUGCACAUUACCCGCAUAGUGACGAUGACGAUUCUGGUGUACAGUUGAAAAGGGCAACUCCAGCGCGGAUAUCCAAACAGAAGACACUAGAUGUCCGUGAGAACAUCCCAACAUGUUGGCAGACAAAGGGCAGGGCGCCAGUCAUCCAACUGUAGACACCAAAUGUCCAGGCUAUUUAAAAUGAACCGAACACAAACACAAACAUAAUACAUGCUAAAUGGACGGAAUUUGUUAUGUUUUGAUAUAUUUACAACCAAACAACAAAAUUUAGCAAGUUCAAACUAAUUAUAAUCAAAGCUAAACUAGGCAAGGUACCAGAAGGAGAACUUGUAGGGACCUCCGUCAUCGUCCGCGCCAUCGCUCGAGCCAUUGUUCGUGUCGUCGCCACCGUUGCCGUGCUAGCGGCAGAAGACCCGCCAGGUGUCAUGACAUUCCUGCGCAUCCAUCACGGCGUGCUCACGCUUGAGAUGCUUCACCGCAUCCUUCGUGUUGAAGGCUCGGAUGAGUGCAACGCGCUUGGACUCCGCCAACCCCACUUUGUGGAGCUUGCCCUUGAGGUCGACUGGGGUCUUGGAAUGGUUGACGGCACAAGCCUCUGUGAGCACCCCAGGCGGGGGCAACCUGGCUUUCUGCAACCGCGGCCCUGCAUUUUGUAUUGCACCGCCUUCUUCUUGACGCUGUUCUUGGAUGACGAGGCGCCAACACCUUUGAGGUAGUAGUGGAAGCAUGACUGGUGUGAAGGGGCGGGGACACGAGCUCCUCCUUCUUGACAACAGGGAGCACCGGGCACCACUAGUUGCCUAGCUGGUGAUGCGGCGGGGAGGGGGGCUUCUCCUUCCAUGACAUUCGAUCUAGACGCCACAGUUGCGCAGAGGGCACAACGGCUCGGCCUUCACGCGAUGUCCGAUUUGGCCGCCGGGGUGGCAAGGAGGGGAGGGUAGCGCCUGCCCCCGGUCGAGCAACAACCGAUGCAACGCCUCCUCCAUCUACAUCGUGAAGUCGUCAUCCGUCUGCGCGGCUGCAACGAGUAGGGGCGGCUUUUGCUCCUCCUCCUUGUCUGAGAAGAUUUGUGCCGUGGACGACCGGAGGUGGUCGGUGCUGUGGACGACAAGGCGCCUCCCAACGACCGCGGGCGACGGUGCAAACUAGACCCAAAGCUCCCCCGUCCCACGGAGCCGGUCCCCUGGCGCGGUGGCGGCUGGUCGAAGCGGUAGGUCCCCAGCAGCCACCACACCUUGGUCUUCUCUGUGCCAGACUUCUUGCCCAUCGCGGCAGAGGUGUUUUCGACAUACGGCGACUUUGGGAGAGGAGUGAAUAAGUGUAGGGUUUGUGUCCGAGGUUGACCGACUUUAAUAGUGGGGGCAGGCCCGACGAAGUUUCAAUGUAGCGUAGUAGGCUUCUCGGUCACCGUGCUUGGUGUGAAUGCCGGUAGAGGGAACAACCAGUCAGCUGGUAUGAAUGCAGGUAGGUCGUCGUCCGGUCAUGUUCGCUCUAACCGGAUUGAAUACAACACAAAGAGAGGGUUCUAGAGUGAGUGGACACGGCAGGGGCAGGGGUUUUGGGUGGGUGGGUGGUGUCAAUGUACGACGUGACUGACGUUUGAACUCCCAAAUCUCCCCUAUUUUGAUACCGUUUUAAGAGAUUUUUUAUGACCGGACCAGUCUGAACAUUUUUUAUAGUCACGUUGAAUGGCUAAAAAUGUCCGGACCGUGUGGUCUAGACAUUUGCAACCAAUUAGGUUGUUGUGCAAAGCAUCCUAGUCUCGCCACAUAUGGCUCGAUGGAAGUGAAUAUGUGGAGGGUCCAGAAAUGCGGGUGAGCAAAACAUUGGUUCUAAGGGCAAAACAUAGUUUUUUCUAAUGAAACUUUAUAAGCAGGUAAUACUAAAAGACACCAUUUUUUUAUUCGCAAAAAAGACACUAUUUUUUAUUAAAAAAUAAAUCAGUUUGUUUAUUUAUCUUUACAAUCUUAUUACACUGUUCAAAACGAGAGCACACGAAGGAACGAGCACGAGCUCAUAUUUCUCCAAUGCACCAUUUUUUUUGAACGUCAAUAACGGCCGAACGUUCGUUCUCGAGAACCAUGUGCCCGAACGUAUUGUUCGGCGGGCGACUAGGUACCGACCGAACGAUUUCGUUCCAUCUGGAGAACCUCCCAGCCCGAACUACCCGUUCGAGAAAACUUAGCGCUAAGGAAAAGGAAAUAUGGGCCAAAAAUAGGCCCAUAUGUGAGCACAAGUAGAAGGACUUUAUAAAGGCUGAAAAGGCAUAAAAAGGACUAGAAGGAAAAAUUGCCCACGUGACUAUAUUACAGCCAUUUACUAAAAUAAUACCCCUCAAUUUGUUUUUACUAAAACAUGAUACUUAUAUAACACAUGAAAAUUCCAAAAAAUUGCGAUUCGAGUUUGAUCAAACUAUUUCAUAAUUUGGCAUGAUAUUAUUAUUUUUACAAUGGCAAGGUUUACAACAAAAAUGAUUUCUAAUACAGCAUGGCAAAAAAUAAAAAAUUGCCAAGGAAAAAGUUAUGUUCAGAAAUAUGACAUGGCAAAAAUUACCAGGAAAAAAAUAGAAUGCACAAAAUACAAACAACCAAAUGGAACAUAUGAAUUUUAGUUGCCAUGUUCAUAUGUAGAGUGAAUAGUUGAAGCAGAAAAGUAUGGACAAGAAACUUGCCAUGACAGAUUCAUAAAAAAAAUUGCCAUAUUUAAUAUGGAAAAAAUGUCAUGUACGAAGAAGUAAAACAACAAAAUUGCAAUGGCAAAUUCAUAUCAAAACUUGCCAUGCUAAUUUAAUUGAAUUUGCCAUGUUCUAUAUGAGAAAAAUGCCAUCUUUGUAAAAGCAAACACAAAUUAUGAAUAAAAAUGAUUGCCAUGGCGAAUUCAUAUCGAAAAUAGCCAUGGUAUUUCAAUUAAAUUUGCCAUGUUCUAUAUGAGAAAAAUGUCAUGUAUGUAAAGUAAGACUCAACUUAUGAACAAAAUUGCCAUGGAAAAUUCAUGUCAAAAACUUGCCAUGCUAUUUUAAUUAAAUUUGCCAUGUUCUGUUUGAGAAAAAUGCCAUCUUUUUUUACCAUGAAAAAUGCCAUAUUUGUAAAGCAAACACAAAUUAUGUACAAAAAAUUGCCAUGGCAAAUUCAUAUCAAAAAUUGCCAUGGUAAUUAAUAAAAAAUUGCCAUGUUUUGUAUUGGAAAAAAUGUCAUGUACGAAAAAGUAAAACUCAACUUAUGAACAAAAUUGCCAUGGCAAAUUCAUAUCAAAACUUGCCAUGCUAUUUUAAUUAAAUUUUUUAUGUUCUAUAUGAGAAAAAUGCCAUAUUUGUAAAGCAAACACAAAUUAUGAACAAAAAAUUGUCAUGGCAAAUUCAUAUCAAAAAUGGCCAUGGUAUUUUAAUUAAAUUUGCCAUGUUCUAUAUGAGAAAAAAAUCAUGUAUGUAAAGCAAACACAAGUUAUGAACAAAAUUUGCCAUGAAAGAUGUAUGCUAUAAAUUAGCAUGGUCUUUUAAUUAUAGAUGUCAUGCUUUUUGUUAGGAAAAAUGCCAUGUAUGUGUUCAUGUAGAGAAAAAUGUCAUGACCCAAUAACUAUAUUUGCCAUGGGGAGGGGUCGCCCCGAACGAAUUGUUCGCGCUGGACAGGGGAACGACCGAACGAUUUUGUUCGGCCCAGGAGCUCUCUCAGCCCGAACACUUCUAGAAACUCAUCACUUAUCACGAAUGCAACAAAAAGCCUAACAAAGACGCCAGUGUGGGCCUGUUGCACGAGAGACAUAAGAAAAACAGGCCCAUUUAGAUACUGAAAUACGAAAAAAAAACCCAGAAAAACUUUCUAAGAAAAGUUACCAUGUUUUGGCACAUACUAAAGUUUGCCAUGGCAAGUUGGAAAGUUUGCCAUGUUUUUGAAGAUUUUAAAAUGCCAUGGUAUAUUAUUCAUAUUUUUGAACAUCUAGAAAAAUGUUGCCAUGUUUUCUAACAUCGUAAGUUGCCAUGGCAAAGUUUGCCAUGUUUUUCAACAACUAUAACUUUGCCAUGACAAGUUUACAUGUUUUUCAACAUGUUAAUUAAAGAAGUUUGCCAUGGCAUAAAAUGGAGUUAAAUUUGCCAUGUCAAAAAGGGAGUAAAAAUUUGCCGUGGCAAAAAUAGUUUAAUUUUUUGCCAUGGCAAAAAGUAGUAGUUUUUUCCAUGGAAAUAAAUUAAAAAUUGACAUGGCCACACAAGUAUAUUUAAAAUGCUACAUAGUAAAAUUUGGCAUGUUCUAUAAAUUUAAAUUUGCCAUAAUAUUUGAAUUAAGAUUGACAUGCUCUCUACAAUAAAUUUGCAAUGGCAACUUUAACUAAAAAUUGCCAUGGCGACUUAACCAAAAAAUUUCCUUGUGAAAAUAAACGUAUUUUUGACAUGACAAAAAUGGAGUUAAACUUGCCAUGCCAAAAAUGGAGUAAAAAUUUGCCAUGGCAAAAAUGGGUUGAUUUUUGCCAUGGCAAAAGGGGAGUAGUUUUGUCAUGGAAAUAAAUUGAAAAAUGCCAUGGCUAUACAAAUAUAUGUACUAUGCUACAUAGUUAAAAUUGCCUUGUUCUGAAAAAUGUAAAUUUGCCAUCAUAUUUAAAACAAAAACUUGCCAUGCUCUUUACAAUAAAUUUGCCAAGGUAUCUUAAACUAAAAGUUGCCAUGGCAACUUAAACUAAAAUUUGUCGUGUGAAUAAAAGUAUUUUUGAUAAACUUGUGAAUUUCUGAAAUUUGCCAUAUGAUUUUUCUAAUAAUUGCCACAACAUUUUAGUAAAAAAAUGCCAUGCUUUUGUAGCGUUUAUCUCUUACUUAUGUCGUGUAACAAACAAACUAACAAGUUCAGAAGUUUGCACGGAAAAAAAUGAUGCAUCUAACAAAAACACGGAGACGCACAUGCCACAAACACAACUUGUUUGGUCAGUUUUGUUUGCUGCUAAAAGAAGCAACAUAUUCUGAUUGCAAAUUAUGACAACAUGGCAACUAGUUUCAGCCAGAAAAUGUAGUAUCAAGGAGAGUGGGGAGUGCUGAUGCAUCACGGAAAACAUUGAGAGGGAAAAAAUGCUAGAGGGUGAGAAUCAGGGGUUACUGAUGAAUUGUCUCUGGCUGGCGCCCAUGACACUGCUAAAAAUCGGUGUCCUGCAGAGCGAGGUAGGCAAAAUCGAUGGCGAGCCCAGCCCUCUCCCUGGCUUGCACCACCCCGCAGCCCUGCCUAGCCAGCAAGGUCGCAACCAUUUCGAGCUCGAUGCGCUGCGACUUGAGCAAGCGGGAGGGGGAGGGGGCAUCCCGUCCUCGACGCGGCCGACAACGCGCUCGCCGCCGCCGCCUGCGUCGGCUCUCGCCGGACAAGCGACAACCUCGCCUCCUGCGCGCGCUUCUCCUGAAUCGAGGUGCGCCUCCGCGCCCUGCCGUCGACGCCGGCGCCUCCUCAGUGCGGUGCUCUUCUCCCCGGCCACGAUCCGGCCCUGGCCACCACGACCACUCCUGCUGCUCACAAAUAGUUGCGCCCCCACCACCACCUCCCCGCGGUACGGACGCGCCACCACCUGCCAACCAGAGUUGACCAGGCGGAGUCCCGACGAUGUGGCCGCCGAUGUUGCGGCACGGCAGCAAACGCGCGCGAUGGCGAGGAGACGAGGAUAGGAUACGGCGGCGCCGACGAGCUUGGGACGGCGGUGCCGCGAUGGGGAGCUGGGGGCAUGAAGCGGAUGGGAGACGGUGGGAUGGGAAUGGAGAGCGAUGGGACAGAGAAGGGGAUGAGUGGUGCGAGCAUCUAGUUCGUUCGGGACGAUUUCUGUUUUCUCCUAAUGAUAUCGAUCGCUGACGUGGCUCUGGUCCCCUGCUUUAAGAUGCGUAAUCAAAUCCAGGAGUGGAAAGGACGUUCGGACCGAAACAACAAAACGCAGCCCGUUCGGGAGUUAUCAAUUCCGUUUUUUUCUUCUUAGCAGCUCAGCAAGCGCGCACACGUGCGGCAACACGAACUCGAGCUCCCCACUUUUCCCCACCCGAAACCCUCGCCUCCGCCGCCGCACCAUGCCGCCGCCGCCGGUGCUGAUGGACGAGCUCGUGGAGGAGGUCCUCCUCCGCCUCCCGCCGGACGAUCCCGCCUCGCUCUUCCGCGCCUCCGCCGUCUGCAAGCCCUGGCGCAUCAUCCUCGCCGGCCCGCGCUUCCGCCGCCGCUACCGCGAGUUCCACGGAACACCUCCCAUCCUGGGACUCUUCCAGCAGGGCGGCCGCUUCGUCCCCGCCUCCGCCCUCGUCCCUGCCCACCCCGGCCUCCCCAGCUGGGUUGCCAUGGACUGCCGCCAUGGCCGCGCCCUCUUCGCCCACCUCGGGAUCACCCUUGAACUCGUCGUCUUGGACCCUGUGACGGGCCACCAGCACAGGGUGACCUCGUCCUAUCACUAUCCGGUCACCGUCGGUGCGGCGGUGCUCUGUGCCGCGCAAGGCUGCGACCACCACGGUUGCCAGGGAGGGCAUUUCCAUCUGGCCUUUGUGUCCACCGACCAGGUCGGAACCAUAUCGGCCUGGCUGUACUCAUCUGAGACUGCCGAGUGGAGUAAGUUCACCUCUCUUCACCACUCAAAUGCUCACCACUCAAAUGCUUUGCUUCAAACAUUUAGUGAGGCUAGUGUCCUUGUGGGCGAGGCGCUCUACUUCAACAUGGGUUACAUUGUGGAGUGCCAACUUGGUACACUCCGCAUAUCAAUGUUCAAGAAGCCGAUCGACGGCAAGGGGUGUCUCAUGACGGCGGAAGACGGCACGCUGGGAUUUGCUGCCGUGGUGGAUGUCGCAAAUCUAACCCUUUGGUCAAUGGAGACCGGACCCGAGGGAGCCACUGGAUGGGCGAAACUCAGGGUAAUUGAUCUUAAGGCGCUGCUCCCUGAUGGAUCCUUCUUGAUCCGAGCACCUGAAGAUGGGAUUUGGAGCAUCACAAAGGUUAUCCCAGCACCUAAAGCUGGGAUUAUUGGCAUUGCGGAGGGUACCCAAGUCAUAUUUGUGAGCACAUAUGCUGGUUCCUACAUGGUCGAUCUCAAGUCUCGACAAGUCAGGAAGGUGUCUCGUCCGGGCAAAAUUAUCUUUCCCUACAUGAGCUUCUACCUCCCAGGUACUAUUGCUUAUGCCCAUAUAUAUAACCUUGUACAAUCUGUCAGUGGCACUUAGCAACAUGGCAUAAAAAUAUGGUUCUUAGCAAGAAACUUUACACAUUGAGCUGAACAUAUGUGCUAAAGAAAGAGAGGUGUUCCUCUUGAGUACAAGUCCAUAUAUCUUAAUGAUUCUAUGAGCGCCUGUUUUUUUGAGGAACUUGUCGGUCCUUCUGAUUGGUGAUAAGCAAAAUGUACAUUGAGCUGAACAUGAUUCACCAAUUGAUUGAUUUUACAUUCCAGUUUCUCUCAUUUCUGCAGCAAUGGAAGCAGCUUCUACGGGCCAGGGGCAGUGAGCUGGUGUUCAAGUGUUUGCCAAGCUCUAGUUGCUGGUGCAUCUGGAUCAAGUGAGUGUGGCUCUGGAUCUGUAGGAAGUAGUUGUUCUGUAGUAACUUUGUAUAGGCCGUGUUAAGGUAGGACCAAUGCUGCCGGUCUUAGUAUUGGUGUAUGGAACUUCGUUUAGGAAGCUGUUCCGUAGUCAAAACUGAUCAGGUUAGUUGUAAUCACCAUGCUCAGAUUUAGUUCAUUUUGAACUAACCUCCUGUUUUUUGCGGGCUUAUGCGGGAUGAGCUUUGCCUGUGUGCUUCAUUUUGAACUACCUUUGCUUCUAUGCUUGCAGUUUGUAGGAACUUUGUUUGGAAGUCGUUGCUUUCAAUGCUUGCAGUAUGUAGGAACUCUGUUUAAGAGGUUGUUGCUUCCGUGCUCGCAAUUUGUAAAGAUUUCUAAGUUCAGUCAGUUUGUGAUGUUGUUGAGAAUAGUGGCACGAGCACAUUUGAACAAUCAGACUUGCAGGUGGAAUCGACAAUGCACAGGAGCAGCUCUGAACAAACGAAAUGAUUUACUCGAAACAUCUAAUAUGUAUAUAUAAGAACAGCUGGUAUACAAGUGAGAUCAGCAGUGCUGUUAGUUCCUAGGUCAAAAACAAUUGACACAUGUAUAUGGUGUCAGCAUCUAGCUAGUGUCAGAAUUCAGUAGCUGAAUUAACCAGCCACUGAUCAAAAGAAUGAGCGAAUUACGCAAGCUAAUUCUCCAGAGAGCCUCCAAAUCAAGAUCAAACUCGAACUCAUCCUUGCUGUUUGGUUCUCCAGAGAGCCGGGUGCCGCUUUUCAAUUACCAGGCAGUCUCAUUGUCAUCUGGCGUUGCAGCAUUGAGCGCUCCCGGACUGCAGCUUCCUCCAGAGGCAGAUCAUGUGCUGCGGCGACUGGUAGUGCGCGGUGUAGUAGCCGUCGAAGCAGCCGGCCUGGAAGAACUUGACGUCGUGCGAAUACUCCACUGGCUGGCGAGUCUUGCUGAACUUCUGAACCCACAUGCCCAUGCUCACGUCUUCCAUCUUGAACAGCUGCAACAAUCAGGGGAAGCACAGCAGUUUGUUAGCCUUUAGACACACAGACACAAAUGCUUCGAUUUUUACUUGCUUACUGACAAGGAUGGUGGUAAUGACUUACUCUCAGUUUCUGGUUGUCAAACUCGGAUACGAUGUACUCAGCGAUGUCUGAUGAAAUCACAUAGCCCGGCCCGUUUGCGUAAGGUGGGUAUACUUCCUCUUCCCAUUCCUGAAAAAGGGGCAGGAAAUUUACAUCACACUCAUGUAUGCAGGGUAAAAUAUAUCACUACCAGUGCCAGAACUUUGCCAGGAAGAUGAUACUCUGUUUUUUUCUAAAAUAAAUAUGAUACUUUAAUACCACUAGUAGGCAUGAUAAACACAACACCCUGUGUUUAGAAGACUGAUCAUUAAAUUUGCAAUCAUAAUCAUUGUUCCAGCUCGAGUAAAACCCAUGCUUGCUUUAGGAAAGGCAGAGGCUAGCAUGAACGCACUAAACAGAGUACUACUAAAACAUGAGACUGGACAGGGGAACUAACAGAUAUGACCCGUAAAGCAUUAAUAUGCUGAAUAAUGGAGGUCAAGUCACACCAAUGAAGGAAUUUGCAUGGCCCAAGUGCCCAACACACAAGGACUUUUCAGUUUUUUUAUUAAAAGGAAAAGCAUGCUACAAGUAAUUGCAAAGGAAGCUGCAUCGUAUCAUACCUCAUACGUUACAGCCCACUUUCCAGAUCGCAAAGGUCUGUGGUAAUAGUUUAUGUUUCCCACAUACAUGCUCCCCCCAUUCUUUACUUUCUUCACUUGAUCCAACACCGCGUCAAUUCUAACAAAUGUGUCGUCGUCACACUUCAUUACGUAUUUCGCUUGCACAACUCGCACCUAUAAAAUAGAAAAAGUCAGAAUGAGCAUUUUUGUCGAUGGAGCUGAAGCAUGAUCCAAGAACACUAAUUUUUCUUACCCCAUACUCAGCAAUGGCAAUAGUCUUUAAAACAACGAGGUCAUAGCUAUCCAUGAAAGGGACCAGAACAAUGUCACCAAAGAACUCAGCCUCCUUCUUCAGCUCCUCGUUGACCUCUUUUUUCCCAUUCUGUAAACAAGUCUUCUAUUAGAGUUUGCACAAGUCAGCAAUAUAACUGUUAAGGUGUAGCAAUCAAUCAUCCACAGGUGCUUACCAGAGCGACGAAGAACCGGGCAACACUGUUAGACGAUCUCCUUGUGGCAAUCAUCCAUGACUUGCGAACGGCCAUCCGCUCGGCGAAAUGGUUGGCUGCAGAAAGGAUGCCGAUGAACAGCUCGACAGGUUCAGUCGGCAGAGGCGAGGCCUUCCACUGUUCAGACAUUUCGAGGUAUCGCUGUGGGUCGAAGCUAGGGUGUGAUUUGGGCAGAUGGGCUGCAGAAAUCGACUCGAUGUCAAGGUCCCCGUUCAACGACAGGCCCGUCGCGUCCUCGAGGUUGUAACCCUGUUAGUUAAAUCAACAGAUUGACAGCGCAUCAUCAGAUAACAAGUUCUCCAUCCUUGAUAUACAGUAUUAUGUAAGUAACCAACGAGCAAUCUCUGCAGAGGCAUGGCAAAAAUCUUACAGUGCGGUAAGGGAAGGAUGCAACAUGUUGCCCGUCGACAUUGACAUGGUAGCCUUCGAGACCGGCUCUGAUGGUUAGGACAAAGAGCUUGCCCUCUGCAAACGGGUACGCCUGUUGGACAGACACCUUGUCUGGCUCCGGUUUGCCGAUCAAAGUGUUGAGCAGCCAUUUUAUGUUUGACGAUUCCUCUGUCUUGGCGCCAUCAUCCCGAGUCCAUUCCUCACACUUGAUUUCGCCAUCAACUGAAAGAUUAAAACCAGCAUGUUAUGAUUCACAGCGACAUCAAGCAAAUUCAGGUGAUGCAAAUUGUUUUUGUUUUAACGAACAAAUAAGAUUCCAAAUUGGAUAGUACUACUCUGCAAUCGAAGGAGCGUAUUCAAUUUCCUAGCGUACGAUGGGAGAAAAGUAGAAUUUAGAGUCUGCAAUCGACGGAGCUCACCUCUGUUGUCGUCGGGCCGCGACGCCGGGCCCUCGCAGCGCUGCGGCAGCGCCCACUGCAUGCGGUAGCAGGUGUUGAGCUCGAUGACGGGGCGGCCGGUGAAGUCCCCGGCGAGCCUGGGGUUGAAGUGCAGUAUCCUGGGCGGCUCCUCCCCCUGCACGGCCUUGGUGCCCAGCAGCUCCACCAUGAACUGCGACGACGCCGCCCCCUCCCUCCUCCUCGGCCGGGCCACCACGGUCACCCGCGAGCCAACGGCCAUCCCGCACGGCAGCUCGACGGCCACCGGGGUGCUGGCGAGCCGGUCGCGGGGCACGGAGACUGCGGCGGGGCAGGACGCGGGGGCGGACGGGGAGGGGGAGGGGGAUGAGGAGGCGGAGGGGGAGAGGAGGUGGGGCAGGAGGGGAGCCGCGGCGGCGAAGGCGGAGGAGGCGGCGGCGUCGAUGGAGGAGGCGGAGGAGGGGUUUGCGCGGACGCGGAUGGAGGAGAGCGCGAGGCGGGCGCAGCGGGGUGGGUCGGGGGUCGGGAAGGUGCGCGUGUGGGGCCGGAGCGGCGCGGAUGUGGUGAUGGAGGAGGAGGAGCGGGCCUCGAGCUCGCGGCGGCGCGGGCGGUCGGCGGUGGCGACGGGCGCGACGGAGACGGAGGGCAGCUCGAGGAAGAGGAGGAAGCAGAGGUACCCCGCCGCCGCGAGCAUCAGCGCCAGCCGGCACGCGCGCUUGGGCGGCAUGGCGAUGGCGGUUCGCGUGGGCGUGGUGGCGGUCAGAGGAGGAGGGAGGUGGGAGUAGCCGUUCCGGAAUGGGUCCGCGGCCGGGGCGGGGCGGGUUUAUUGCGGACGGACGGAAGGAAGCGGGGGAGGAGUGCGGUGGCCGCGGGCGCGGGUCGUGUUUAAACUUUAAAGGCCGGGCCGGACCGGACCGUUGCGCCGGCGGGGCGGCGGUGGUGGGGAUUCUGAGAGCGGCUGACAGCGCGCAACGGCUUGUUUCUGCGCCGUUUUGGCUGUAUGUAUGCCUGAACCGGAGUAGGCUCGUGCCAAAAAAAAAAGGAGGAGAAAGGCAGGAAGAAUGCGUGCGUGUGUGUCCAUUUACACGUGACGUGCGCGCGCGCGCACACACACAUAGGGCCUGCACGUGCGCUCUUUUGUGCGUCUGCUUGUUCUUUUGCUCCUGCGUCCACGGGUUGAUUACUUUUUUUUUGCGCCCACGGGACUGAUUUAUCUUGGCCUCGAAGGAAAGGUGGCUGCCUUUGUGUUUGCGGCAUGGCGUGGCGGCGUGGCCGUCCGUCCGUCCGUCGAUGGUUGACGACGCGGCGACAGAAGGAAAAGGGAGGGGUCGGCGGGCCGAACCCGGACGGAUGCGCACCACCGACGCGGAACGCACUGCUGGAUGUGGCUGGGUCGUUGUGUUGCGUCGGGUCGGGGCCGCGUGUGGAGGCGGCGACUCACGCUGUGGCGUGUGGUGGACCGGGCUGGGCUGGGUAGUGGCCGGCCGGUAGGUUGGUUUGGUUUGAACUCAACUCAACUCAACGCUCAACGCGGCGGGCGGGCGGAGUCAGCUGCGCAGGUACGACUCGGCUCCUCCCAGUCCCAGAGAGAGACUGGUGGAAGGAAGAGUGGUCGUCCAGCCAGGGCCGGCCCUGAGGGGGGGCAGGGGAGGCGGCCGCCCCGGGCCCCCGAUAUCUUGGGGCCCCUCCUAUCUGGCCAAGUUUAACAUAUGUAAGUUAAGUAAUCUGGGCCUUGCUGGGUGAGGAGAAGAAAAAGGCAAAGUGGGCUUAGUAGAACCGUGCAAGUACGUGCUUUGGCAGCCUACGACACGAGUACUUUGACCAUCCGAUGGAUCUAGGUUUGCGUAUGGAUUGCCUUGGGGCCCUCGUCUCCAUCUUCACUAAUCGCCUGCGCCACCGAGCGCUGAGUGCUGGCCGCCGGCCGCCGGCCGCCAGCGGACGCAGAAUGCCCACCGAGCACAGGCUAUCUCGGUCCUUGCCAUACACACCAUCGUUGAUUUCAAAUAAGGUAGCUUAUUAUGUCUUGGUGAUUUUGGCUUAUCUUCUGCCCUAGAUAUUUGCCAUACGACCUUGUGUUAAGUUUUUAAUUUGUACUUGUCUCUUUUAUAUUUUAGAUCUACUAUAUCCGGUGGUGAGAAAAAAGAGAUGAGAAAAUGAUUAGAUGAGUUGAUAGUAUCACAGAGAUCGUUCUGGAUGAGCAAACUAACGCUAAUCAAGAGAUGAUGAACAUACAGAAGUCAACAUUGACAUCGCAGAAUGUUGGAAGAAAAUUCUAAGGUAAUAUUGUAAAUGUUUUUGGUAACAUUUCAUAUAUGAAGUAAAUAUUCCAUAGACUUAUUAUUCCAUCCAUCUCUAUAUCUAACAAGAAUGAAGGUCAUGUGUUACUUUUGUCCUUAGUCCAACCUUCCUACAUCCUUCUCUUGGUUUUGUUUAUCUCUCUCUCAUCUUUGAUUUUUCCCGAUUAAUUUUGCCAAAAAACCCUCAAUUGUCCCAAUGUAUUAUUAACUUAUUAUUAUUAACAUUUCUACUAUUUAUAAAGAACACAACGUUCAGUCUUAAGUUUGUCCUUUGUCCAACCUCCCUAUGCCUCCUCCUAAUUUUCAUUUUUUUUUUCAUAUUUGGUUUCGUCCCACAAAAUUUUCUUAAAACCUCCUUAACUAACCUAUGUUUUACUGACCUACUAUUUGGUAAACUAAUUAGUGUCUUCGUUGCAAUGCACAAAAAAAUAUCUAGUAUGCUAAUAGAAGGGCCCCGGUUUUUACUUUCGCCCCGGGCCCCCGAAUUCUCAGGACCGGCCCUGCGUCCAGCCAUCCAUCCAUCCAUCUAGGCGUAUCGUGUACGGUCAAUGUGUGCCGUGCAUCUGUCUGUCUCGCUGUUUCUCUUCGUGCUCGACGAACCUUCCCGCCCACCCGCCAUAUGGACCGGUCAGGCGGUCAGGCUUGUUUCUCUUCCUGCUUGGGUCGGUGCGCUACGCCAAGGACGCGGCCAAACGCGCGCGGCGCGGACCCGGCCAGCCAUUUGCCGAUGACGACGCCCGAUGUCUACGUACAGUACGUGCGUGCGUUGCGACGGCUGGUGCAAACAGACGUCGCCAUCGCCCAACCCAGCGCGCCUCACGAGCAGAUCCAUAUUCUCCACUAGCCUGACCCUCCAGCGACAUAUACGUACGAACGGACGGCACGUAACGCGUGUGCCCAUGUCCUCCCAUGGACUGCUCGUCAGGGACACAUGCACCCGUUUUUCUAUUCCCCUUCCCCCUCUCCAGCCACACCCACCCUCGCCCCGCCCUAGCCGUCGCCACCGCCCCAAUUUUUCUCGGCCAUGCGAUCUCCAGCAUGGCCGCAAAGCCCAGGCCCUCCCCUUCGGAGCCCCCUUCCUCGACGCCCGGGCCUGUACAACCCCGCCCGCCUUAUAUUUAGUGCAUUCGGCGGCCGAAUUUGGAGCGGACCUACCCCGGUUUGAGCUCACCCCGGUUGCCGGAGGGCACGCACUGCAAUGGACUGGUCGGGUACUAGACCACAAAGCCCUGGCAAGGCCCUCAGGCCGCAUGCAGGUACUGAAUCCGCCCCUAGCCGUUCGGAUCGAACCCGUCGCUAGUUUGCCGGCAAAUACAUGAACGGCCGUCGUCCGGGCUCGGUACUGGCCCAAAGGCUCGUCGGCGCACCGUUGCCGCUCAUAAAAUGCGACGACUAUCCACGGAAGGUCUUGCGCCGCGUGUCUACAACGCCGAAACAUCCUAGAUGUGUGUUUCAUCGAUCGAGUGCGCAAACGAUGGGGUAUGUGCUAGUUUAGCUAUGGUUGUGCUUUCGGAUUCGGCUCGUUUUGCUUAAACUCAUAUGUGUAUUGUGUAGGAUAGAUGCAACUUUUGGUAUUGAGAAGACGAAUACAUCGAUCUAUUGACAGAGCGCAAUUUAAUAGAUGUUCAUGCACUUGUUGUUAGAAUAGAGGCUAGAGAUGAGACUAGAUGCGAAGAAGCAACGUCUACUUCUUUAGACUUGAAGAAGAAAGAAGCACACAAGAUCGAGACUCCGCAGAUCAACAAUGAAUGCAUCGAGAAGGCACCAAUCCAACUAUCGGGAGCGGUUAUGGAAGUUGGAUAUCUUCUAAAAUAUCUUCUUGUGGUUCUUAUUUUUUCUUUGGUCUUGAUAUCCUAGUCAAGAUUUGGUGAUGUGCUCAAUGUAUCAAUAAUCAAUGACGAAAAUAAAGAUAUGUGUUGCAAAAAAAUGUAUGCGGCCAAAAUGCGGCCGCGCGUUGGGGGCACGACUGUCGCAUCCAGAAAUCCGGAUGGACACUGCUCCAUUGCCACUCCCAAGCGGACGAAAAGCGAACGAAAUGGACGUCCAUUUGGGGUCGUGCGUUGGAGUUGCCAUAGGAGCAUCUUCAACCACAAUAUACAAAUUUGGCCCCUCAAACGCCCGCGGACUCGCCCUGUCAGCAUCCGGGCAUGUCCGCUUUGACUCCCUAUUUUUCUGUUCACGCAACCAUGUCCAUCAAAAUUUUCUUAUAUGUCUGGUCACAUGCAUGUAAUUGCUGGAGAAGGAGAGAGAGAGAGAGAACAAAAAGAAAUAAUAAAGUAAGAAAAAAUGCUAUAUGGGGGGGGGGGUGCUAAUCCUAUGUGGCGGACGCAGGACCACUGACCGGGCACACCCGUACACUUCUCAUAUCAUGCUAUAGUUUUUUUGAGGCAAUCAUAUCAUGCUAUAUAUGAGAUGAAUAUGAGGGCCGCCGGACAGUCCGAGCAUUUAAGAAGGCUUUAAGGGGUCCGGUUGGGUCAACUUUUUAUUUUUCUCUUCUGUUCGGUCAAUGGUUCCCGCCCCGCCUGGUCAAUUUGAGGAGUCCGGGGGNNNNNNNNNNNNNNNNNNNNNNNNNNNNNNNNNNNNNNNNNNNNNNNNNNNNNNNNNNNNNNNNNNNNNNNNNNNNNNNNNNNNNNNNNNNNNNNNNNNNNNNNNNNNNNNNNNNNNNNNNNNNNNNNNNNNNNNNNNNNNNNNNNNNNNNNNNNNNNNNNNNNNNNNNNNNNNNNNNNNNNNNNNNNNNNNNNNNNNNNNNNNNNNNNNNNNNNNNNNNNNNNNNNNNNNNNNNNNNNNNNNNNNNNNNNNNNNNNNNNNNNNNNNNNNNNNNNNNNNNNNNNNNNNNNNNNNNNNNNNNNNNNNNNNNNNNNNNNNNNNNNNNNNNNNNNNNNNNNNNNNNNNNNNNNNNNNNNNNNNNNNNNNNNNNNNNNNNNNNNNNNNNNNNNNNNNNNNNNNNNNNNNNNNNNNNNNNNNNNNNNNNNNNNNNNNNNNNNNNNNNNNNNNNNNNNNNNNNNNNNNNNNNNNNNNNNNNNNNNNNNNNNNNNNNNNNNNNNNNNNNNNNNNNNNNNNNNNNNNNNNNNNNNNNNNNNNNNNNNNNNNNNNNNNNNNNNNNNNNNNNNNNNNNNNNNNNNNNNNNNNNNNNNNNNNNNNNNNNNNNNNNNNNNNNNNNNNNNNNNNNNNNNNNNNNNNNNNNNNNNNNNNNNNNNNNNNNNNNNNNNNNNNNNNNNNNNNNNNNNNNNNNNNNNNNNNNNNNNNNNNNNNNNNNNNNNNNNNNNNNNNNNNNNNNNNNNNNNNNNNNNNNNNNNNNNNNNNNNNNNNNNNNNNNNNNNNNNNNNNNNNNNNNNNNNNNNNNNNNNNNNNNNNNNNNNNNNNNNNNNNNNNNNNNNNNNNNNNNNNNNNNNNNNNNNNNNNNNNNNNNNNNNNNNNNNNNNNNNNNNNNNNNNNNNNNNNNNNNNNNNNNNNNNNNNNNNNNNNNNNNNNNNNNNNNNNNNNNNNNNNNNNNNNNNNNNNNNNNNNNNNNNNNNNNNNNNNNNNNNNNNNNNNNNNNNNNNNNNNNNNNNNNNNNNNNNNNNNNNNNNNNNNNNNNNNNNNNNNNNNNNNNNNNNNNNNNNNNNNNNNNNNNNNNNNNNNNNNNNNNNNNNNNNNNNNNNNNNNNNNNNNNNNNCGAGGACUGCGGCGUACCUGCAGCGGCCUCACGCGCGUUGAGGGGAGGCGGGGGGCGACCGGAAUGGCGGCGGCCGGCGGCUCGGGUGGGCGUGGGCGGGAGGUUGGGGACGGGGAAAACUCCCUCCCGCGCUCAGGCGGAACACGAAUGCGGGGGGCGACCGGAAUGGCGGCGGCCGGCGGCUCGGGUGGGCGCGGGCGGGAGGUUGGGGACGGGGAAAACUCUCUCCCGCGCUCAGUCGGAACACGGAUGCGGGUUGGGGUAGUUUUCGCCCCCCAACCCUCACUUCUACAGGUUGGGAAGGGGUUUGAGGGUUGGACCCUUAAAUUUUUUUAAGGGUUUGAGGGUUAAGGGGUUCUAGUCUACGCGUUUUUUCGCUCGCAAACUGUAAAAACCCGGUUAUUUAUAAGGGUUUGAGGGUUUGAGGGUACUACUAGAGAUGCUCUUACUUCUCGUUUCGACCGCCUCUAGGCGCGCAAGGAUGCCAAAGCCAUCUUGAAAAUUAGGCACCCCUUUCAGUGUACACUUUUAUUUAUCAGACUUGAGUAAAAGAAAAGAAUCUGGACGGGCGGAUUGCCUUGCCAAGAAAGAGCUCCCCCACAAUGCAAAAUGGGCAUUACUCUGGGUCGACGCAUCAACCGAAAGUUUCAGCCGGUCAGGUCAGACCAGUUGUAGCAAAAAUGUAGCAUCGCCGUCGCUGGAGGANNNNNNNNNNNNNNNNNNNNNNNNNNNNNNNNNNNNNNNNNNNNNNNNNNNNNNNNNNNNNNNNNNNNNNNNNNNNNNNNNNNNNCGGUGGAGGCGCGCGGCUUGGUAGCAGGGAACAGAGGGGGGAGCUCGCAUGGGAGGUUGGAUCGGGGAGAGGGGAGAGGACGGUGACAUGGGCCCAUGAAAAAAGGGAGCGUGGCCCUCUGCGCUCGCGCCGGGCGCGUGACAAGGCGUGCGACCGGCCGAAGCUUCAGCCGGCGCACCGUCGGAAACAUUUACCAUGCAAAAUUCGGCAUCUGCUCGGCCGUUUUCGGAGGACGCGGCCGGAAUACUGAGCUGGGCUGAUGUGAUUGAUGUUGCCCCCACCACUACUGGUGAAUCGUUUUCAGACCGGUCGGGCUUUGCUAGGUUGAAUGCCCGGCAUCUAGAGACUCAAGUUAAACAACUUGGUUUAUAUUUCAACUGUUUGGUUUAUAUGGAAGGAGGGUAAUGGUAUGUCAUUAACAGAUUCAGUUCAGUUGAUCGGGCCGUUGAGCACGUCAAACGCGACGCUUUCUUCUAGUUCAAGGCCGGAUGAGAUGAGGAGCCCGAGAGCCUUUGGAGCCGGACCGGGCCUGUGGCGAGAGGGCACUCAAACAAAGAGAUGAUCGAAUCCUUGAUUGGUGGAUAUUUGGGCAUGCUUACAAAGGCAAAUUGUUUAAACACGGAUCUUUCAAAUACCCGCGUGACUGAGUGUGGAAGAAAGUAAGAGGAUUGAUGGAAAAACUCUUAUCAGCGGCAUGGAGAGAAGGUUCUAAUAAAAUCAGUGCCGUACACCAUCCCGUUAUACUCCAUGUCCUGCUUCAGGUUACCCAGUGGUCUGUAAGAGAGUGUGACAUCAAUCAUAAGCAUUUUUGGCGGGGCAGCCAGGGGCNNNNNNNNNNNNNNNNNNNNNNNNNNNNNNNNNNNNNNNNNNNNNNNNNNNNNNNNNNNNNNNNNNNNNNNNNNNNNNNNNNNNNNNNNNNNNNNNNNNNNNNNNNNNNNNNNNNNNNNNNNNNNNNNNNNNNNNNNNNNNNNNNNNNNNNNNNNNNNNNNNNNNNNNNNNNNNNNNNNNNNNNNNNNNNNNNNNNNNNNNNNNNNNNNNNNNNNNNNNNNNNNNNNNNNNNNNNNNNNNNNNNNNNNNNNNNNNNNNNNNNNNNNNNNNNNNNNNNNNNNNNNNNNNNNNNNNNNNNNNNNNNNNNNNNNNNNNNNNNNNNNNNNNNNNNNNNNNNNNNNNNNNNNNNNNNNNNNNNNNNNNNNNNNNNNNNNNNNNNNNNNNNNNNNNNNNNNNNNNNNNNNNNNNNNNNNNNNNNNNNNNNNNNNNNNNNNNNNNNNNNNNNNNNNNNNNNNNNNNNNNNNNNNNNNNNNNNNNNNNNNNNNNNNNNNNNNNNNNNNNNNNNNNNNNNNNNNNNNNNNNNNNNNNNNNNNNNNNNNNNNNNNNNNNNNNNNNNNNNNNNNNNNNNNNNNNNNNNNNNNNNNNNNNNNNNNNNNNNNNNNNNNNNNNNNNNNNNNNNNNNNNNNNNNNNNNNNNNNNNNNNNNNNNNNNNNNNNNNNNNNNNNNNNNNNNNNNNNNNNNNNNNNNNNNNNNNNNNNNNNNNNNNNNNNNNNNNNNNNNNNNNNNNNNNNNNNNNNNNNNNNNNNNNNNNNNNNNNNNNNNNNNNNNNNNNNNNNNNNNNNNNNNNNNNNNNNNNNNNNNNNNNNNNNNNNNNNNNNNNNNNNNNNNNNNNNNNNNNNNNNNNNNNNNNNNNNNNNNNNNNNNNNNNNNNNNNNNNNNNNNNNNNNNNNNNNNNNNNNNNNNNNNNNNNNNNNNNNNNNNNNNNNNNNNNNNNNNNNNNNNNNNNNNNNNNNNNNNNNNNNNNNNNNNNNNNNNNNNNNNNNNNNNNNNNNNNNNNNNNNNNNNNNNNNNNNNNNNNNNNNNNNNNNNNNNNNNNNNNNNNNNNNNNNNNNNNNNNNNNNNNNNNNNNNNNNNNNNNNNNNNNNNNNNNNNNNNNNNNNNNNNNNNNNNNNNNNNNNNNNNNNNNNNNNNNNNNNNNNNNNNNNNNNNNNNNNNNNGAAACCAUAUUGGGUCUGUUGGGUCUGAUUAUGGACAUCACUUUGGCUAAAGAAUAUUCCAUCAAAACUGAAUGUUUCAAGUGGAGGUUGGCCAACAUUCACUUCCAACAAGGAACAUUUUGCACUAUCGCAAUAUGAGCAAUACCCAUGUCUGUGCCAUCUGUGGCUUGGAUGACAACUGGGGACAUUCGUUGCUGACAUGUACCAUGGGUCGCAGCAUUUGGGCCCUCUCCAAGGAGGACUUGGUGGAAUACAUGAGCAUGAACCAGGAAAACCGAUGCAAGAAACUGGCUCUUCACGAUGAGCGAGACACUACCACAUGAGGAUUUCACCCGUGUCAUUGUAGCCCUAUGGGCGAUCUGGAGUGCUAGGCGAAAGGUGAUUCACCAGGAUAUCUUCCAGACCUUGUUUGCAACACACUGUUUCAUUAACUCGUACAUUAACGAGAUCAAGGUGAUUCAGCCAACGAUGGAACGAGCUCCUACCCCACAGGUUAUAAGGCAAUGGCAUUGGCUAUGGUCCCAGGAUGGCCAUGCAAAAAUUAACGUCGACGUAGCGGGGUAAAUCAUGGGGUUUUUAUUCCUUAGAAAUAGUGUUGCAGUCAGCUAAUACAAACUCUGAAGCACCGCCUGAAACUCGGUGCAACCUCCAUAACGACCAAUAUUAGCUAGACUAUGAGCAACUCUAUUUUGACCGCGAUAUACUUUCAACAGAAUAAACACUCGAAGAGCUAGCAUUUUGUUAAUCUCCAUAAUCUUAUGACCAUACACCAACCGGUCUAGUGAGUCAUUUGUCAUUUUGCAUGCUCAGUGACAGUUCUUCAAGAGUGGUACUAAUCUCAGCUUCAAGGGCAUAUUUGCAGUGGAAUAAGUACGGGGAUGCUGAGAAAAUAACUCUGCCAUUGCUGACCCCGAGGAUCAUACCCGUAGCGCAAACACACGUAGAAGUAGUAGGUGCGUUGUGACGGCCGGUGUGAACAGAUGUCGCGAUCGCCCAACCCAGCGCGCGUCACGACCAGACCCAUUCUUCACCGAGCUCCGACGGACACAAUUGCCUGCGUACACAUGGCGUGGACGGCGGAGGCGGAGAAGGAGCGACGCUGUAUCCUAGUCCGUGAUCUCUCAACUUGUUCCUCCACGUCCAUAGCUUUGAUCCUGACUUGAUCCUUUUGGUACGUGCAGGAGAAGAAAGACGGUCACAAGUUGUGCAGCAGACGGUAAAUCUGCGGGAUGUGGUUCUAUCCGAGUCCAAAUCGCAAGGACGAGUGGUCGCCCGUUGAUUUCUUCCGCUUGUCGCUCUUCAAAGUCUGCCUGCCUGUCUCGUUUCGAUCCCCUCUCAGCAUGCAACAAUGCCAAGGCCAUCCGGAAAAUUUGGGCAUACGAAUUUGAUGGACCCCAAUGUUCACUAGGAGGGAUGGCAUUUCAAACAUUUUUGCUGACAGUUUCUUCAUUGGCGCAUGCCAGUUUCUUUAGAAACGCGUUUCCGACAAUAAUAAAAGUUUGCGGCAAAAUGGGCAGAAAUUCCCAUCUGCUACCAUCUAAAAAUGAUAUCAAAAAAACUUUGCUCGCCAUCCCUGAUCUCCCUCCCAGCGAAUGUUCGUCUGUGGUAUUUCUAAAAUUUUAUUUGGCUCUCUGCGUGAAGAAGAAUACGGACGGUGGAUUGCCUUGUCAUGAAAAAGCUCCCGCACAAUGCAGACUAGGACCGUUCGGGAGGUCACGGAAUCCUGUGACAGAUGUUGCCUCCAUCAAUGGAGCCUCGUUUCAAACCAGGAGAAUAUCACAUGCAAAUCAAGUUUCAAAGAAACUUUAUGGAAACUGUUUGAAGUUUCAAAAAAAUAAUCAAGAUGUUAAAAGGAUGAUGUUCUAUUGCCAUGCAAAAUUCCAAGUUCAAACACAUCAUAUUUUGUAGUGAUCUAAAAGGUUUUAUAUUAGUUUACGGAGGAAGUACCUCGUAAACCUGUUGAAUUUUUUUCAUACCUCAUAAAACAGUAAUGUGUUUGAACUUGGGAGCUCCACAUGUUAAUAGAACAACAGAUUAACAUCUCGUAUACAUGAUUUUUACUGGUUUCACAGAAACUUGUUUUUUUUAUAUAUUCUCUCUUUCAGACCGGUGGGGUUUGGCUAGGUCGAAUGCCCUGCAUCUGGAGAUAAGUUAAAUAACUUAGUCAAAUUAACUGCUUAGAGCAUCUCCAGCCGCGCCUCCAACAGACUCUUACCAAGCGUUUUUUCCGCGCCGGCGCCGGAAAAAACGGUCCAGUCGCGCCCCCAGGACGUUGAAUUCCGCCGGCUCGGGCCGCUUUUACGCCCGGCGAUCGCAGGCCGAACCCGGCGCACUGGAGGCUCUCGAGGGCUCCAUCGCAAGCGAAAAACGCACCUGGGGCCACAUGCCAGGCGAAAAGUCAAGCCACCNNNNNNNNNNNNNNNNNNNNNNNNNNNNNNNNNNNNNNNNNNNNNNNNNNNNNNNNNNNNNNNNNNNNNNNNNNNNNNNNNNNNNNNNNNNNNNNNNNNNNNNNNNNNNNNNNNNNNNNNNNNNNNNNNNNNNNNNNNNNNNNNNNNNNNNNNNNNNNNNNNNNNNNNNNNNNNNNNNNNNNNNNNNNNNNNNNNNNNNNNNNNNNNNNNNNNNNNNNNNNNNNNNNNNNNNNNNNNNNNNNNNNNNNNNNNNNNNNNNNNNNNNNNNNNNNNNNNNNNNNNNNNNNNNNNNNNNNNNNNNNNNNNNNNNNNNNNNNNNNNNNNNNNNNNNNNNAUAAAUCAUUCCCCGCCGGAAAAAAGAAGAGGUUUUGCCGAGGCAGCCUCUCCACCGCCGUCCGGGCAACUUUUCCGGCGUUCCGUCGGGCAGGGCCUGUACACCGGCGGGUUUGCGCCCACCUUGCCUGCAAGGUGUUCGGUGAUUUCCGGCCCGGUGAUGGACUCCGAAGAUGAGGAGGCGCUCACGGCGUUGCUGGAGGAGGAAGCGAAAGCCGGUGUGAUGAAACUUGAUUUUUUUAUUUGUUAAUCUAUAUAAUUUAUAUUGAACUAUUUGAUUUAUGUGAUGAAACACGCCGAACCAUGCCGAACUAUGUGACGAACUAAUUGGUUUUUAUUUGUAUGCGAAAAUUAACGCCGAAACACGCCGAACCGCGCCGAAUAUGGGCCGAUUCACACAGAUAUCGGGCCGGUUUUGGACACAAUUGGACCAAAUAAUGGGCCGAAAUCGGCGCCUGGGGACGACCUGGGGGCGACGACUGGGUGCCCAACCACCCCGAGCGCCGAGUAUGCCGCCGGCUCACCUCCGAGCCGCUCGUUUUUGGCUCCCUGGGGCCGAACGGCUGGAGAUGCUCUUAGUCUUGAGGGUGGUGGCAUUCGAGAACAAAUUCAGUUCAGUCAAACGCGACACUUUCUUCUGGUUCAAGGCGGGAGGGUAAAUACCUAGGGUCUGUUUUGUGACUUGGUGGUAUUUUCCCCCUCGAUUUGUACACCCGCCUUUGUAUCAGUUCCUUUUUGUGUCUAGGGCUCAUCUAAAUGUGACAUAACUAUGUCACUUUCAUCAUCACUUUUUUCCUUUUUUUUCUUUGUUUUUCCUUUCUUUGUCGUUUUUCCAUUUUGCGGUUGUCCAGGGUACGUUUAUGCGAGCUUCGUUUCGUUCGUGUAGGCAGUAAGGCAGCCUCUGUUCGUUUUUUCCUUUCCGUUCAUUGGCUUGUUUUUUGUGCUUUGCAAAACGUGUUUUUCUCUUAUAAAACCAUAUAUAUUCGUGUAUAAUUUGGAGAUACAUGAAAACCUUACAUUUUUUGUGUUCAAUGUAACAUUUAGAAAGGUGUUCACAUGUUUUAAAAAUGUUCACCGCGAAUUAAAAAAUGUCAAUGCGGUGUAAUUUAAAACAAAUGUUGAAAGCAUUCCCGAAAAGUGUUUGUGACAUUUUAAAAAUGCACAAACGUUCAGAAAAUGUACGUGAAAUGUUUGAUAUUUUUUGUUUCUGGCAUUAAAAAUGUUUGUGUAAUUCAAAAAAAAUUGUUUCCUACCAUUCCAAAAAAUGUAUGCAACAUUUUACAAGAAUAUGUUUGUGUCAUAAAAAAAUGUUUACACAAUGUAAAUAAUGUUCGUGUAGUAUAAAAAUAUAUUUCAUAUCAUUCCAACAAAUCUUCAAAGUUUAUUGGAAAAAAACUAAACUCGUAAUGAAAAGAAAAUCAAAAGAUAUAUUUGAAAAAAUGUUAAUCAUGUUUUUGAAAAAUGUUCAACAUGUAUAAAAAAAUAUUCUUGAUACACACAGAAAAUGUACAAUGUGUAUUUGGAAAAUGUAUUUGAACUCCUCUAUUUAAAAAAAAUGAUAAUCAUGUAUUUAAAAAUGCCAAAUGUGUACUAAAAAUGUUUUUGGUUUAUAAGAAAAAUGUACAAUGUGAUGAGAAAAAGUACACAUCAAGACAUAUAUUUGAAAAACAAAUAUUAAUCAUGUAUUUUCGGUUUAAGGAAAUGUCUGUGACCUUUCUUAAAAAACUCAUGAACAUUUUAAAAAAUAGAGAUGUAACUUGUGGAUAAUUCUCCUCACAGCCCUAAUUGUAGUCUCAUUGUUGGAAUGCAGUUGUGUGUCAAUGGUAUACUUGCAACGGGACAAAAAAUGGGUCAGGCCCAAUUGCAUGUUGAGGGUGGACUUGCAACUGGUAUAAAAUGGGUCGGAUCCCAGUUGCGUACCGAGGAUGGAGUUGUAAUUUGGACAAACUUGAUCCCCAUUUGCGCAUCGAGGGUGGACUUGCAAAAAAAAGACAGGGGCCCAAUUGCAUUCAAGGGUGUAGUUUUCUUGCAACUGGGAGAAAAAUGGGUUGGGCCCCAGUUGCAUUCCCACUGUCGACUUGCAAUCGGGACAACAAAAAUGGCGAGGGCCCCCAAUUGCAUGUCGGGGCCGGGGUUGCAACUGGGAUAAAAUUGGUCGGCCCCUAGUUGCGUGUCGAGGAUGGACUUGCAAAUGGGACAAAAGUGGGUCACGCCUAGUUACGUUCGAGGGUGAACUUGCAGCUGGGAUAAAGAAAGGUGGCCUUCAAUUACAUGUUGGGGAUGCAUUUCCAAAUGGGGACAAAAAUGGAUCGCGCCUCCCUCCCCAAAUUGUCUGUCAAAUGUGGACAUGCAAUUCAAACAAAAAAUGGGUAGGGCCUAGUUGUGGAUCGAGGGUGGACUUGCAACUAAAGCAAAAAUGGGUGCCCCCUCAGUUUCAUGUUGGGAUGGAGUUGCAACUGGAACAAAAAAGGGUCGCCCCCCUUUGCGUGUCAACACUACAAAAAAAAUACACUUCUGUGAUGAUACGUGUUUGUCAUAGUAGGUCGCGUUUUUUGUCAUGCAUGUACAUCCAUAACAAAUUUAUGACAGAAUCAAGAUAGUCAUACCUGUGCUGUCGUAGAAGUGUUCCAUGACAUUACCAAAAUUAUCAUCACGGAAGUGUCCACUUCCAUGAUGAUAAAUCACGCGUCACAGAAGUGCUUUCGUCAAGGGUGACCGACACGUGGCAUCCACCGUAACGGAACGCCGUUAAGCUAUCAGGUCGGAUUUUGGAUCCGAUAACCCGUUAACAGCCACGACUAAUGCCGAUUUUCCACGUGUAAAAUUCUCAUUGGCUGACGGAUCCACGUGUCAGCUCUGCGUUGGCACAUGUGUCACUCAUCUAACGACCGAGAUGGGCCUAUGAUAUGUUGACACGUGGACCGGCCCAAAAGUGGCCCACAAAGUUUAAAUGGGCCGGCCCAACCGAAGGCCCAUAAGAUUUAGCGGACCAUAAUGGGCCGGCCCAGCUAAAGGCCCACAAAAUUUAGCGGACCAUAAUGGGCCGGCCCAGCUAAAGGCCCACAAGAUUUUGCGGACCGUAAUGGGUCGGUCCAGCUAAAGGCCCACAAGAUUCUACAGACCAUAAUGGGCUGACCCAGCUAAAGGCCCAACAUUCUCUGUCAAAUCGGCCCGUCAACGGCCUGGUCUAAACUUGUCAUCAACGCGGCCCAUGGUCACUUCUGGCCCGUUAACAGUCCGCUAAGUAAUUGGGCCGAAUUACGGCCCGGUGUAUUUCCGGCCUGUUAAAGGUCCGGCUUCAUUUGGGCCCAUUUACAGGCCAUCAAAACUUUUGGCCCAUAAACGACCGUGAAGGAUUUGGGUCAUAUUCGGCCAUGUCUGUCAUUCGGCCUGUUAGAGGCCCACUAUAGAUUUGGCCCACUUUCGGCCUGUUGUCAUUUUCGGCCCGUUAACGCCGGACGUAAACCAUGGGCCAUAUGUGGCCCAACGUCAUAUCGGGCCCAUUAACAGCCCAUAUAAAAAUGACAAUAAUCUAGCCCGACCGAAGUUCCGACCUGUUAAAGGCCCAUGUAUUAGGUCGGCGCAUUUACGGCCCGUCCGAAUUUCGGCCUGUCAAAUAUCCGCAUCGUAAAUGGGCCACCAUUUCGGCCUGCUAAGUCCAGUGGGUUAUUUGGCACAAUCAGGGCCCAAUCUCACUUUCGGUCUAUUAAAGGCUCAUGUUUUUUAUGGGCUCGACAUAUUUACAUCUGUAAACGGCCUACUUUUACUGAGGGCCCAAAUUAUGUUUAGGCCUGUUAAUGGCCCACUAUGGGUACAUGCCUACCAGAAAAAUUUGAAAGCUUAUGCUAAUUUAAGCCCAGAUAUUUUUAGUGGGCUACAUGCCAAUUUCGGCCCGUAAUCAUUUUUAGCCCAAUUGGAAUGGGCCCGACGAAUGUUGGCAUGUUGGGCUCUUACAAAGCUUUCAUCUGAAUACAUUACUAAGAUAAACCUACACUAUACAAAAAUAGCGUCAUAAUUACUGCAGCCUGUGACAGCAUCAUAAAUGUUGUGUCACAACAAAACAAAUUCCAAUCAUACAACAAAAGGCCUGUUGGCAUAAAGUUUACAGUCCUUCCAGAUAAAAGCACCAUCAGAUGUAUAGAAGCAUAGAUCAUUUGACCUGAGUGCUAAUGUUUCAGGCUGUAGAAUCUGAUGGAGCAGCAUGAUCUCCACCUUUUUUUCUGCCAUUGCUCUUCAAUAACGAAGUGAAUGUCUGAUAGUCUGGUUUCAAAACCAUUCAUAUCUUGACGGCAUUUCUCAAUCACUAUUCUUGUUUCCGAAACAACGUCCAUUAGGGAUUGAACUUGUGUCUGGAGCACAGAUAUAUCACUCUGUCUAGCAGGAAGAUUUUGUUCAGUAGGCGAUUUGGACGAGGUUACCUUGACAACCAACCCAGAAUUACGCAGGAAGGUGCUUUUUGCACUGUUAGUGGAGAGAUACUGACGCACUGCAACAAGAGGUGACAUUGUGCGUGUAGUAGCCUCGUCACCUUCAGGUGGUUGUGGCUGUUCAAUCAUUUGUUCCAUGGAUUCCUAAAAGUUUGAACUUGUAGAUUAAUGUACCAGUGAGUUACUAAUGAGACAAAAACAAACAAAGUAGGUUAAACGUUUAUACAUAACUUAUUUUGGUGAACUACUGUAAUACAUUAGCAUGUAUUGUAGUGCCAACUACAUAAUAAAAUCACUUUCGGAACAUAUGUCCAUGUAGCAUGCCUACUGUAUUGUCUAUUUCCUCACAUUCGUUGACAUCUAAGGAUAAAGAGACAUGGUUUAAAGUAGGAUGAACAUAGUAUGACAUCAUUCAUAUCAUGGGCAAACAGAUAUAAAACAAACACAUUAUUUUAUCAUUGUGUGCGCACAUGAACAUAACAACUAGGUUACAGAUCAAGACCAAAAGAAUAUCCUUCAUCUCUUUUAAACCAUGUAAGGUGAAAUGAUACGUUAAGACAACUAUGUAUAAAAGUGAACAGAGUAACUGACAUUGGCUGCAAAUCAAGUAGUUAAAUGAACACAUCACAGUACCAAUCAGUUCAAGGCAGGAGGAGUAAGGACUUACAACAGCGGCUUGAACUGGUGUGCUCAUUCCCUUCAUCUUGCUGGUGUGGCAAUCCUUUAAGAUUUGCACUGCAUUCGGUUCAGGUUCUUUUUGGUCCGCACGGGCUUUCCGCUGUAUUUGGAACAAGUCAAUAUAGAUACGAUAAUAUGGCACAAAAAAAGAAGGAAGUAGCAGCUAUUUACAAGAGCCUCGCAGUGUGCAAUAUACCUACAGGAUCUUGUUGUCUGUUGGAAUUUCACUUUAGAACGGUUGGUUUUGUUCUUCAAAUAGUUAGCCUAGAAGAAGAUACACUUGUAAGGCACAUACAUAAAUACAAGUUCAAUAUGUGGUCUGAUCAAAUACAUAUAGCCUACCUGAUACUUUCGAUCAGACCGGUGUUUAACGAGGGCUGUCCAGUCUUCAUCUGUAAUAUAUUCCACUGGAGAUGUUUGGGCGAUUUCAUUGUUAGCCUUGUCUUCAAAGUGAGAUUUUCUAAGGUGGUACCGAUACUAUCGCUGAGCAGACUGAAAAACAUGAGUGCAUGCUGGUUUAGUUGCAUCAUCUCUCGGAUCCAACUUGAACCUCAUCUGUUGAAAAAAGAAUGCGAGUCUUAUUAGGAGGAAGCUAGAAAGUAUGGGACAGAGCAAGACAAUAUUACUAAUUGCGAUGAAUAACAUUACUUACAGAUAAAUGGUCAAGGAAGGUGUUAAACUGGGUAUUGUCUUUCUCAUUCCUGUACUGGAUCCACGUUGGGAGGAUACGCGCAUGACACCUAACGGCAACGGCUGCCUCUGAUACUAACUUGGCUAACUCUGUAGCAUCACGUGGCCUUUUUAAACCUGCCUCAAAAUGGAUCUCCAUUCUUCCUCCUUUAAAUUUUGUUAAUCUGUCAAGCAUUAUCCCUGAUGUCUGUUUCCGCUUGCGCCGUGGUGCUAGUUCAACAACGAAUAUGGAAAGUGUUAGUGUACAUCAAACUGUGAGAGUACAUAUAAAGGAGCAUGCAACUGCAACUUGACUCGGUCAGGUACCAUCUUGGUGUUGAUGCUCAUGAGGUUCAUCUAAUCUUGCCAAGUCCUAUUGUGUCAACAGUGCUUCAGAAGUAGUGUUAGGUGUGAAGGCAGCUUGGGAACUGGCCAGUUCCGGAGCAAACCAACGAGUAACUGGUUGAGAUGCUGGUACAGUUGAAGCGGAUGCUGCAGCUGGUGGAGCAGGUGAUACUGUGUUUGUAGAUUUAGCCGGUGGACUUGGACCUUCUACUGCACUAUAAGUACCACCAGAAUCUUGAUGGCAGAGACUUUUCCGUUUCACCCGACGAGUAACAGCACUCCCUACUAUAUAUUUUCCUUGCUCUUUUUUGACUUUGCCAUGUCAAGCUGUACCAACAACACAAAAGAAUAAAAUCACUCUUCAGAACUCAUUGAUGCAUGAUACAGACAAGCAAUACUUUGAUGUAAGACAACCAUAUGAGGAUGGAAUAUGUAAGAAAAACAGGACGGCAUGACAUAUCCACAGCUACGAUGUGCAAACUAAGCAGAAGGAUUUUCAAGAAAAUAGAAGUAAUGCAAGCUAGACACCAUAUGAAAGAUGCAACCAAUAUUACUCUGCCAAGUUAAAAGUGUCUUGUCAUAAGUGGCAAUUCGAAAAAUUAGAAGUAGUACAACGUAGAAAACAAUGCAAGAUGCAACCACUAUCAAACUGCCAUGUUAAAAGCGUCCAAUCAUGAGUUACUGAUACGGGAUACACAACAGCAGUACUUUGAUGUAAGAACAUGGUAUGAUAGAUAGAUGCAGUGUAUUCUAGACACAGAAAGCCAUGUCAUAUGCACAUGUAUAACAUAUAAACUCAGCAGGUGCAAUUUAAUCAAAAUAGAAGAAAUACAGGCUAGACAACAUAUGCAACAUGAAACCAAUUAUCACACUGUCAACUUAGAGCAAGCACCUGCGAUGGUGGAGUGCGGGAGAUGAACUCAUCAUGUAGACUUGGGACUUCAACUUCAUUAGCAGUAGCAGUGGCAAAUCUAGAGAGUCUCUGUUUGCGUCGGUGUGGAGUACCACCAACAUCCCCUAACUUACACUUUUCCUUCCUAUUUUCUGAUAUUGCCUUAUGAAGUCAAAACCACAAGAAGAUGAAUAAAAUUAGCUCUGCAUAACUGGUUGAUGCAUGAUACAGACGAACACUACUUUGAUGUAAGGCAAGCGCAGGAGGAUGGAAUAUAUACAAAAAAAGACAGCGUUUCAUAUUCACACGUACGAUAGGAGGAUGGAAUAUGUAUGAAAAAACAGUAAGCGGAAGGCAUUUCAACAAAAUUAGAAGAAAUGAAAGCUAGGCACCAUAUGAACAUGUAACCAAUAUCACUCUAUCAGGUAAAAAGUGUCUCGUCAUAAGUGCCAUUUCAAUAAAUUAGAAGCAGUACAAGCUAGAAGAUAAUGCAAGAUGCAACCUACAUCACAGUCCCAAGUUAAAUGUGUCUUAUGGGUAAGUGAUCGUUGCAGGUAUAAGUUGUAAGCUACGCAGAUGCAAUUCAACAUAAUCAGAAGCAAUACAAACUAGACAUCAUACGGAAAACGCAACCACGUAUAACAGUUCCAAGUAAGAGCAAGCACCUGUGAUGGUGGAGUAGGGGAGAUGUGCUCAUCGUGUACACGUAUGUUCUAGAAACAGGAACAUGUGUCAUAUUCACAGGCAUUAUGUGUAAAGUAAGCAGAUGCAAUUCAAGUUAGAAGCAAUACAAGCUAGACAUCAUACGCAACAUGCAACCACAUAUAAUAGUGUCAAGUUAGAGCAAGCACCUGUGAUGGUGGAGUAGGGGAGAUGUGCUCAUCAUCUACACAGCUACGUUGACUGUCCAGCCUUGUGUUGUCUUGCGAAUCUUGUUGGGAGGAUGGCGGAGUAGAAUCUGUAGAGACCCCCUGUUUGAGUUGCUCCGAAGGACCACCAUCAUCCACUGCUAGACUAAUUUCCUUCAGCUGUAAUGAUUUUGCAUUGUGAAGUCAAACCGAUAAGAAAAAGGAAUAAAAUUCGCUCUUCAGAACUCAUUCAUGCAUGAUACUGACGAACACUACUCGGAUGAAAGGCAAACACAUGAUGCGAGGAUGGAAUAUGUAUGAAAAACAGGAUGGUGUGACAUAUUCACACCUAUGAUGUGGUAACUAAGCAGAAGGCAUUUCAACAAAUUAGAAGCACUGCAAGCUAGACACCAUAUGAAAGAUGCAACCAAUAUCACUCUGCCAAGUUCAAACUGUAUGUCGUUUCAACAAAUUAGAAGCAGUAUAUGCUAGAAAUCAUAUGCAAGACACAACCAAUAUCACAGUGGCGACUUAAAGGUGCCUUAUCAUAAGUGACUGAUGCGGGAUAUGCAAGAAUAGUAGUCUGAUGUAGAAACAGGAACACAUGUCAUAUUCACAUGCAUUAUGUGUAAAGUAAGCAGAUGCAAUUCAACAAAGUUAGAAGCAAUACAAGCUAGACAUCAUACGCAACAUGUAACCACAUAUAAUAGUGCCAAUUUAGAGAAAGCACCUGUGAUGGUGGAGUAGGGGAGAUGUGCUCAUCAUCUACACAGCUACGUUGACUGUCUAGCCUUGAGUUGCCUUGCGAAUCUUGUUGGGAGGAUGGCGGAGUAGAAUCUAUAGAGAACCUCCGUUUCAGUUGCUCGGAAGGACCACCAUAUCCAAUGCCUUGCCAAUUUCCUUCAGCCUUAUUGAUUUUGCAUUGUGAGGUCAUACCGACAAGAAAAAGGAAUAUCAUUCGCUCUUCAGAACUCAUUCAUGCAUGAUACUGACGAACACUACUCUGAUGAAAGGCAAAGUCAUGAUACGAGGAUGGAAUAUGUACGAAAAAAUGGACGGCUUGACAUAUUCACACCUAUGAUGUGGUAACUAAGCAGAAGGCACUUCAACAAAUUAGAAGCACUGCAAGACACCAUAUGGAAGGUGCAAUCGAUAUCACUCUGCCAAGUUAAAAUUGUCUCGUCAUAGGUGGCGUUCAUCAAACUAGAAGCAAUACAUGCUAGAAAUCAUAUUCAAGACGCAAACCAAUAUCACACUACCAACUUAAAGGUGUCCCAUCAUAAGUGACUGAUGCAGGAUACACAAGAAGAGUAGUUUCAUGUGAGAACAUGGUGUGAUAGACAUAUAUAGUAUGUACCAAAAACAGGAAAGCGUGUCAUAUUCACAUGUAUCAUGUGUAAGCUAAGCAGAUGCAGUUUACACUAAUUAGGAGCAAUACGAGCUAGACACCAUAUGCAACAUGCAACCAGAUAUCACACUGCCAAGUUAGAGCAAGCACCUUGGAUGGUGGAGUAGGGGAGCGGAGACUUGGACCAUGUAAUGCACUAUCAGUACAAGGAGAAUCGGUACAGAUGCUCCGUUUACGUUGCUGCAGAGGACCACCAUCAUUGCCUUCCUUACUCUUUUCCUUCCUCUUUCUUGAUUUUGCCUUGUCAAGUCAAACCCACAAGAAAAAGGAAUAAAAUUUGCUCUUCAAAACUUAUUGAUGCAUGAUACCAACGAACACUACUUUCAUGUAAGGCAGACGCAUGAUAGGAGGAUGGAAUAUGUAUGAAAAACAGGACGGCGUGACAUAUUGACAUGUAUGAUGUAUAAAGUGUAAACUAAGCACAAGAUGCUUGAACUUGUUAGAAUCGAUGCAAGCUAGAAACCAUAUGAAAGAUGAAACCAAUAUCACUCUGCCAAAUUAAAAGGGUGUCGUAACAAAUGUAUUUGACCAAAUUAGAAGCAAUACAUGGCAACAGGCUAGAAAUAAUAUGCAAUAUGCAACGAAUAAAGGUGACUCAUCGUAAGUAAUUGAUGCAGGAUACAGAAGAGAGGUAGUUUCAUUUAAGAACAAGGUUAACACGUAGAUGUAGUGUGUACCAAAAAUAGGAAGGCAUGUCAUAUUCACAGGUAUAGUGUGUAAACUAAGCAGAUGCAAUUUACCCUAAUUAGAAGCAUUACAAGCUAGACACCGUAUGCAACAUGCAACCACAUAUCACACUGCGAAGUUGGAGCAAGCACCUGUGAUGGUGGUGUAGGGGAAGUGCUGUCUUCAGGUACAGAGAAACGUUCAAUAUCUUCAUUUAGGCUUGCUGUUUCUUAAGAAUCAUGUGGAGAGGAUGAAAUUGCAUUGUUUAUAAGAGUAUUGCGUCUCAUAUUAACCCACGCGCGUGACUGUCUCAUCAUAAGCGAUAGACGCAGGAUACACAAGAACAGUAGUUUGAUGUAAGAACAUGGUGUGAUAGGCAGAUGUAGUAUGUACCAAAAAUAGGAAGGCGUGUCAUAUUCACAUGUAUAAUGUGUAAGCUAAGGAGAUGCAAUUUAACAAAUUAGGAACAUUGAUGAGGGAUACACAAGAGAAGUAGUUUGAUGUAAGAACAUGGUUAAUAGAAGACAUAGUAUGUACCAAAAACAGGAAGGCAUGUCAUAUUCACAGGUAUAAUGUGUUAACUAAGCAGAUGCAAUUUACCCUAAUUAGAAGCAUGCAACCACAUAUCACACUGCCAAGUAAGAGCAAGCACCUGCGAUGGUGGUGUGGGGGAAUUGCAGUGAUCAACUAGAGAGCUACGUUGACUAUCUUCAUUUAGCCUUGCUGUUUCUUGAGAAUCAUGUGGGGAGGAUGACACUACACUCUUUAAACGAGUAGGGCGUCUCACAGUAACCCACUCGGGUGACUGUCUCAUCAUAAGUGAUUGACGAGGGAUACAAAAGAGCAUUAGUUUGAUGUACGAACAUGGUUAAUAGACAUAUGUAGUAUGUAUCAAAAACAGGAAGGCAUGUCAUUAUCAAAGGUAUAAUGUGUAAAGUAAGCAGAUGCAAUUUAACCAAAUUGGAAGCAAUACAAGCUAGACACCAUAUGCAACAUGCAACCACAUUUGACAGCGUGAAGUUAAAGCAAGCACCUGGGAUGGUUGUGUGUGGCAAUUGAGAUCAAAAACUGCAGAGCUACUUUUACUAUCUCUAACUGCUGACACUGCACCCAUUAGAGCGUUGAAACGCUUACUGCUUAUCUUCGAAUUACACUGGAGUGACUUCUAUCUUUUCUUUUCUGCAUUCAUCAACACUGCGUCAGAGUCUAAAAUACCCAUGCAUAAAAAAACAAUAGUGUGAGUAUGGGUGAAGUGUGUGCACAAUUAGUACAGUGUAAAGGUAGCAGAUAGCAGGUCGGUGAGAAAUAAAUGACGGGAGACAUAUGAUAGCUCUACAACAUGCAUGACACACUCAAUUACUACAGGAUUCUAUGAAAAUAACAGUUGACUGAAAGCAAAUAGGUCAGUCCAUUUUUUCUACACCAUCCGAUGUACAAAGAACGGGGAGAUCGGCUUCAUCUACGUCCAUCCAGUCAGUGUUGACGAUCUUCCUCGAAACGCCAGCGACCACCGGCCCAGUAUUCCUCCCCUGCCUGCGCCCUCCCCUCGACCUCACCGCACCGCCGUGCUUGGCACCGCCCCCCGGCCAUCCAUUCAAGCCCCGCCGACCUCCAGAUCGGGCGCAAGCAGCUCCUGCGCCCCACACCCCUAUGAUAGACACCGAUGCGCCGCUUCCCCGGGGAAUAGGCGGACUAGGUGCUCCGCGCGCCUAAGCGGGUGCUGCUUCUUUUAAUUGCAGUUCGACUGACCCUGAAUUGAAAUCCAGGCGGGCUACUGACCUCUAGCAAAGGUGAAAUAGUAAAAGGGAGGAAACCUUGUGCAUUUAGUAUCACGAAGAAGAUGCAGUAAGAAGCGCUCAACUAGUUUCUUUUGUGGGAUGAAUACGGUGUGAGCGGAGACGUAAGAUUUGCACGAAUAAGGGAAGAGGAGUACCUCUUUCUGCUGGCAGUGUUGUGUCCUCCUUCUGUUUUUCCGACGAUCUUGUUGUUCGCCGGAAACCAGAAGUUGUGGAGGACGGUGCGGCCUUGGACGAACCCAUGGCCAAGUUGUUAAGUGUGGUGCGGUGGCCAUCUGUCGGCGGCGAGGAAGCAGAUCCGAGGCGGUGAACAACGGCGUAGCGGGAAUAGCUCCUGUGCGGUGGACGGUUGCGACAGUGGAGCCGCAACAGUGAGGCGCAGGACGGCGUGGUCGGAGUGGUUCUGGUACGGCGCACGUCGGCGUCGGCGUCGUGGAGGCAGCUCUGCCUCGGCUUCAGCUGCUAAGUCCUUGAGGGCGUUGCGGUUGCGGUUGCGUUGGAUGACGACGUCGGGGUACCGGCUCCGGCGUGAUGGAGGAGGGCGGCGGUGGAUUGGCCGCUAUGGGGUGGAGGACGGAGGAGGUUGGGGUUUCGCCGCUGGUGGAGGGGGCGUUUUCGCGCCCACGGAGUAUGAAUGGGGAAACGGAGGGAGGCGGGGAACUAAGGGGGAACAAUGUUUCGGUUUGAUAUGCGCUUGUUUGAAAUUUGGGGAAAGUUACAAACUUUGCCCCCAUCUAAAAUUUCGGACAUAUUGUGGGUUGGGGGUAGGACAGNNNNNNNNNNNNNNNNNNNNNNNNNNNNNNNNNNNNNNNNNNNNNNNNNNNNNNNNNNNNNNNNNNNNNNNNNNNNNNNNNNNNNNNNNNNNNNNNNNNNNNNNNNNNNNNNNNNNNNNNNNNNNNNNNNNNNNNNNNNNNNNNNNNNNNNNNNNNNNNNNNNNNNNNNNNNNNNNNNNNNNNNNNNNNNNNNNNNNNNNNNNNNNNNNNNNNNNNNNNNNNNNNNNNNNNNNNNNNNNNNNNNNNNNNNNNNNNNNNNNNNGGGUAGGACAGUCAUGUCAGGUGUCCCAAAUGUGUGUGUGUGGGGGGGGGGGAUAGAUUUCGGCCGAGCGCAUGGGUGUUUAGGUGCCCACGGCGUAUGAAUGCUUCUCGGAGGCGGUUGAGACUGGCGUCUUGGUGAAGCUACAAACCUACCCCGGUUUAGACCUUUGGACAUCGGGCCGAUAGGCUACACGGGCCAGAGUUAGGACAGUAAUUUCCUACCACCAAAACAUUAGUCUCGCGCGGUUUCGGGUAACCAGAGGCCUAUUUGGCGCUUCGCUCAAUAUUUGGGAGCAGAAGCAUUAACGUUUUCGGUUCUCUUGAAUUGGACUUUCAGGAUUUGUGAAACUUCACAAAUCUUUACUCUUGAAAAUUCUAAAGCUACGAUUAUUUUGGAAUGGAGGGGGUACAUUUUAAUAUACAUUGUACACGAGUAUAUAUUAAAAAAUAUGCAACUUACCUCAGUUCAUGCAUGGUUCCAGGUAUAAUCUCCUUGGUUGCAAAAAAAUUUAGAUAUGCGUAUGAAUAUAUAUACCAUGUUCAAACUCACACCAAAGAUUGAUGCCCCCUUUUACAUCUGAUUUACAAAUGCCAUUAUCUUGGGUUCAAAUAGAUGAAUGCACUUCCUAUGAAUUCGAAUCUUCGAAACCCCCUUUAUGUUGAAUUCGACAUGUAUUUUAUUUCGUAGCUAGCAAUUUGGAAUGUAUCCAUGCAAGUGACAAAUGUAUAAAGUGCUUCACACUAACAACAUGGAGUGCACUAAUUAAUGUUUAUAUAUGAAUUGCAAAAGCACCCAUUGCCUGUAUUUCAAACCGCUCUCACUCUAUGGAUCGAUAAUAUGAAAUAAACACAUGCACAUGCUAGAAUUCAAUAGAGUAUGGGUGUCUGAUAGACCAAUUUUCGUCCGUACAAAAUUUUGCAAAAUUCAUGAUCUCAUCCAAAAAUAAUAAUGCCAUUUAUAUUUUAAUUUAAUGCAUAGAACCGCCUUUUACACGUAGAUAUCUCUCUAUCUAACGCAUAAGUGCACACACUUUAUAUGCAUCGGCAUUUCUCUUUCACACAUGCUCACAAUCUCUCUCAGGGUGUCGGGGUGUCUCACGCACAUGCUCUCUCUGUUUCUCUAUCUCUCUUUCUGACUACUAUGUACCACUCUUUUCACUAAUCUCAGUUGGAAAACACUAUUUCUCUCACGUGCAUAUAUACACAUGCACGGUCUCUACUAGCCCUCUAUACGCACAUAUAUGUGCCUACGUGUCUCCCGCACGCACAUUAUCUUUAGGCCUCUCUCGCCCACAUUGCCCCCCCGACACACCUCUCUAAUAGUAGUUGGCAGAUAUGAUUUCAUCAUAUCAUUCGGUAGGAUAUCCCUGGCUGUUAGGCUAGAUGGUAAUACGAGGCAAAGUUUUACCCUAGCUCAGAUCGGACCCUUGCAGUUGAAGAAAGAGCCUACUCCUGGUACUAUAUAUUAGUGUUAGGGGUGUGUACAAAGUACACGUGAAUACCAGGCAUUGUGCGUGUGUGUAUACUAUCGACGAACUAGCCCCCAAGCCUGUAUAACAUACUAAGGGCCUAGGGUUACAAAUCAUAUAUAGUCGGCUUAUCACCAGUGGGGAUAGAGUCCUCCGCGACUCUGGUAGCUUCGUGUUGUACGCCGAGUCCUCCACAUGGGUCUCCGUAUAACACGUCUCGGUCCAACCUAUAUGUGGUGCAGGAUGGAACUGACCCAUGAGUCUUCAUGUUGACCCACCACAACUAGAAAUGAUGUGCCCACCACACCACACACGCAAUCGGCCACUAAGAAAAUAAGCAUAUACAAUAGUACAACGGUAUCUAGCUCACGAUACGUCUCCAUAUUUUGUUGAUGACACUGACGGACUUUGCAUUUGAUGCGUGCUCCGUAUUUCGUUGACGACACUUACGGUCAUUGUAUUUGAAGCGAAAGCACGAUAUGGUCACUGGACUUCAGAAUAAGCUCAUCACGGUCACCACAUACAUUUUGUCGUGCUAACCAACAUGUGGUUGGAUGGUUAGAGGACAGUGGUUUCUCGAGCCCACCAAGGUUAAAGUCCCGGUGCUCGCAUUUAUCUUGUGUUAAUUUCAGUAUUUUCCGGCGAUGUACGUUCAGUGGGAGGAGACGUUCCACUCGACUAGGAGGCACCUAUGGUGACUUCAUAAAAUCUCAAGAUCAUAUAUGCUGGCCCACUCUCUCUCGAAGGUGCGGCGGCGGACCAGCGGUGGGGAGUGGUUUCGGGGAGGGCGUGUAACGCCCGAAUAAUCAGUGCUACAGUAAUCUCACGUUAAUGAUGCCACGUCACCUCUGUCACUGUAGUUAAUCUCGGGUUAAUUCAAAACCGUUUCGAAAUUCAAAUUCAAGUUAAUGUCAACAAAUAAAGUUUUCAAAAAUUUGAAACAAAAAUGUUCGGAUAAUGCCAAAUAUGGCAUAGGCAAUUAUGGUGUAGAUGACACAAAUUUAUAAAUUACUUAAAUGCCCAAAUUAAAUAGAACAGAACACAAAGAAAAGAAAAAGAAAAGGAAAAGAAAGGAGAAAAGAAGAAAACCCCCCCUUCCCCCCCUGGGCCGAAAGGCCCAGCUGGCCAGCAGCCAGCCAUCCAACCGGCCCAACUCCCCGCACCGCACCCUCUCCCUGUUCCUCGGUUCCGCGCCGCUACAGGGCACGGUCGCCACUGAACCCCCCUCGCCGGCGCCGCAGGGGGAUAAGAUCGCCAGCGCCCCCCCGCCUCCUCGAUCCCGCCUCCCACUCGCCCCCACACUCGCCCUCGGNNNNNNNNNNNNNNNNNNNNNNNNNNNNNNNNNNNNNNNNNNNNNNNNNNNNNNNNNNNNNNNNNNNNNNNNNNNNNNNNNNNNNNNNNNNNNNNNNNNNNNNNNNNNNNNNNNNNNNNNNNNNNNNNNNNNNNNNNNNNNNNNNNNNNNNNNNNNNNNNNNNNNNNNNNNNNNNNNNNNNNNNNNNNNNNNNNNNNNNNNNNNNNNNNNNNNNNNNNNNNNNNNNNNNNNNNNNNNNNNNNNNNNNNNNNNNNNNNNNNNNNNNNNNNNNNNNNNNNNNNNNNNNNNNNNNNNNNNNNNNNNNNNNNNNNNNNUCUCCUCCGCGUUCCCCCCCACCACGCCCGAACACCGCCAUGGACCCGCCGCCGUGAAUCGCGCGGCCACAGCCAUCGCCUCGCCGCGCCUGCGUGUCCGUCGACGCCUCCAUCGUCUUCCUCGUCCACCGGAGGCCUCAGCUGGAGCAGGGGAGCCCCGAAUCAACGGAUUCCCUUCGCCCACAUCACCGGCUGCCGCGUUCUUCUUCAUCUCCGGCGCCGGCCUCUGCUGCUACUAAUCCGUCACGGGCCUACGUGUGAGCCGCACGGUGAGCCCUCCCGCCUCCUGCUCCUCCCCGUUAUCUCCCGCACGCGUUAUAGCUAGCUCGGUGGCGCGCCCGAGAGCUCACCGCCGCCGGUCGCUUCGCCGUCGUGGCCAUGGCCUCUGUCGUGCUCGCCUGAGCACGACAUCGUGCUCCUGAUGCUCAUAGGAGCCCAACGCGCACGCGCACACUCCCUCCCGUGCCUCCUAGUGUGUUUCCCGUCGGGGACCUGACCGCGCUGCUGCCAAAGCUCAUCGCCGGCCGUGUUUCCGGCAACCAUUUGGUCCAGCGCCACCGCCAAACGACGCGGAAUGCCUCUGCGGUUCGAACGCAAGUUGUUGCGCGCGGUUUGGUGCUUCCUUGCACGAUCCCGACGAUGUCCCGAACGACGCCGCCGCCUCUGCUCGUCGCCGGUGCCGAUUCCGGCCAAGUCCGGCCAUACCACCACCCCCACUCGACGCGGCAUCGAGUGGCCGUUCGAUUAGACCAAGCUGCGCGCCGAACGGCGCCGUGUAGCGAAAUCCCGACGAGGCCCGGGUGCCCCCGCCGCGUUCUGACGUCGCGGCGGCCAAACGCCGGCCGCCGCCUACGUGGUUGGCCUGGGGCCACCCCAGAGCCACUGCCAGUGGGCCCUGCGGGUCCUAGUUGACUGGGUUGACCCAGUCAACUGCUGACGUGGCAGCUACUGCCACCGACAUUUGGGCCCCAUGUCAUAAACGAAUAAAAAUAAAUAGAUAACUUGCUAAUUAAUUAAAUAGUUAAUUAAACACUAAUCUCUCACUGACUACCGGGCCCUACCCACUAAUUAGCCUAUUUAGUUAGUUUUAAAACUCUGUUAGUACCCUGUCAAUGACAUGUGGGUCCCACUGGACCCACCUGUCUGGUUUGACUGGUCAACCGACCAGUUGACAUGCUGACAUCACUCUGAUGUCAUGCUGACGUCAUCAUUUACUAUUCUGGAUAAUGUUGGAUUUAAAUAAUUAACUAAAUUCCUAAAAAUGAUUUAAAUCUUUAGAAAAUCAUAUCUUUUAAUCCGUAACUCGGAUGAAAAUACUUUCUACAUGAAAGUUGCUCAGAACGACGAGACGAACCCGAAUACGCAGCCCGUUCGUCCACCACACACCUCUAACAUAUCAAACACGCAACUUUCCCCCUCCGGUUCAUCUGUCCGAAAACGCGAAACACCGAGAAUACUUUCCCGGAUGUUUCCCCCCUUUGUCGGUAUCACCUACUACCGUGAUUGGGCACACCUAGCAUCGUUACUUGUCAUGUCAUGCAUCGAUAUGCAUUUGUUUGCAUUGUAUUCAUUGUUUCUUCCCCCUCUUCUCUCCGGUAGACCACGAGACCGAUGCUGUUGCUGCCCAGUUCGACUAUGGAGUUGACGACCCCUCCUUCUUGCCAGAGCAACCAGGCAAGCCCCCCCAUGAUCACCAAAUAUCGCCUAUUCUCCUCUAUACUGCUUGCAUUAGAGUAGUGUAGCAUGUUACUGCUUUCCGUUAAUCCUAUUCUGAUGCAUAGCCUGUCAUUGUUGCUACAGUCAUUGAUACCUUACCCGCAAUCCUAAAUGCUUAGUAUAGGAUGCUAGUUUAUCAUCAUUGGCCCUACAUUCUUGUCAGUCUGCCUUGCUAUACUAUUGGGCCAUGAUCACUCGGGAGGUGAUCACGGGUAUAUAUUAUACAUACUUACAUACUAUACAGAUGGUUACUAAAGUCGGGUCAGCUCGAAGAGUACCCGCGAGUGAUUCAUGGAUUGCGGGCUGAAAGGACCUUUGUCCCGACGGCCCUCUGUGUGGAUCUUUGUGGCGGAGCGACAGGGCAGGUUGAGACCACCUAGGAGACAGGUGGGCCUGGCCCUGUUCGGCGUUCACGGAUACUUAACACACUUAACGAGAUCUUGGUAUUUGAUCUGAGUCUGGCCAUUUGGUCUAUACACACUAACCAUCUACGUGGGAGUAGUUAUGGGUAUCCCGGCGUCGUGGUAUCAGCCGAAGCACUUCAGACAUUAGCGACAGAGCGGCGCGCGCCGGAUUGGACUGGAACGCCUGCUAGGCUAGGUCUGCUUCCGGCCGCCCUCGCAACGUGCAGGUGUGCUAUGGGCGAUGGGCCGAGACCCCUGUGCGCUUAGGUUUAGACCGGUGUGCUGGCCUCUCUGUUUUGCCUAGGUGGGGCUACGACGUGUUGAUCUUCCGAGGCCGGGCAUGACCCAGGAAAGUGUGUCCAGCCAAAUGGGAUCGAGCGUGUUGGGUUAUGUGGUGCACCCCUGCAGGGAAGUUAAUCUAUUCGAAUAGCCAUGAUCUUUGGUAACAGGACGACUUGGAGUUGUACCUUGACCUUAUGACAACUAGAACCGGAUACUUAAUAAAACACACCCUUCCAAGUUCCACAGACAACCCGGUGAUCGCUUUUCCACAGGGCGACGAGGGGAGGAUCGCCGGGUAGGAUUAUGCUAUGCGAUGCUACUGGAGAUGCUACUUGGAGAUGCUACUUGGAGGACUUCAAUCUACUCUCUUCUAUAUGCUGCAAGAUGGAGGCGUAGUCUUCGACAGGAUUAGCUAUCCCCCUCUUAUUCUGACAUUCUGCAGUUCAGUCCACUUAUAUGGCCCUUUACACAUAUACCCAUGCAUAUGUAGUGUAGCUUCUUGCUUGCAAGUACUUUGGAUGAGUACUCACGGUUGCUUUCUCCCCCCUUUUUCCCCCUUUCCUUUCUUCCUGGUUGUCGCAACCAGACAUUGGAGCCUAGGAUCCAGACGCCACCUUCGAUGACGACUCCUACUACACUGGAGGUGCCUACUACUACGUGCAGCCCACUGAUGACGACCAGGAGUAGUUAGGAGGAUCCCAGGCAGGAGGCCUGCGCCUCUUUCGAUCUGUAUCCCAGUUUGUGUUAGCCAUCUAUGGCUACUUGUUUACUUAUGUCUAUACUCAGAUAUUAUUUCUUCCGCUGACUCGUCUAUGAUCGAGCACUUGUAUUCGAGCCCUCGAGGCCCCUGGCUUGUAUUAUGAUGCUUGUAUGACUUAUUUAUGUUUUUAGAGUUGUGUUGUGAUAUCUUCCUGUGAGUCCCUGAUCUUGAUCAUACACAUUUUGCGUGCAUGAUUAGUGUACGAUUGAAUCGGGGGUGUCACAGGGCGGGCCGGCCGCGGGCGGCGGGGGCGGGCGAUUCGGCCGGUGGUGGCUGGCGGCUCGGGGGGGGGGGUGGAGUUUGAUGAUAAACUGGAGGCCCUUGAUUUCGUAUCCAAUGGCUGGAAAAUCUAAUGACCAGAGAUGAAAAAGUCAGUCGACUGACGUGUAGCCUCACCCUGCACAUACACAUGCACGCACGCAAGACACGCACGCAUGUAGGCGUGCAACACUGACACGUACACAUAACAUACACACGCACGCAUGCUGGCGUGCAACACUGACACGUACACAUGCACUCAUGAACACACGCACGUACGCACCCAUGCAUGCAACACUGAAAGGCACCCUUGCACGUACGCACCCAUGCAUGCAACACUGAAACGCACCCUUGCACGCACGCAACACUCGCACGCCUGCAUGCACACAUCACACGACGCAAGACACACGCUUAACUACAUGAAAAAGAUGACAUCACACUCAAUGAACAAUCAUCGGUUUAUGAAAUGCCCGCUUCUGACCGCCCUGGCCCACCAAAGGUUCCUCUGCUGUGUGCUGCCUGCGUUGGGUCACUGACAUGCAGGCCAUGCAUCCAAAGAGACCACACGUCAGUGGAAGAACGGUGCGGUGUCCUAGGUCAGAGUCGAGGGCGCCACUUGCGGCACGCCCGGCUGAACACGCCUCCGUGCCGCAUUCAAACGCCUCCAUGAAACCCGCCCGUGUGGAAGCCGAGAAACCCACUCUGGACACACGUCCGUUCAUGACCGGGCCGGCGUUAAACGCAACACCGACCGAGCUCCUCCCGUCCACCGUCUAUUUAAUCUGCUAUUUAAAUGAGGCCAAACGCCGGCCAAGAAUCGCACACCUCUGUCGCUCCCCUAUCUCCUCCACCAUUUUGUCCACUCUUACAAUGGCUUACGAAGAGUAGUUAUUCCGCAUCCAAGCCGGCUGGGUAGCCCACCGGAUACGAGCUAUGCAGCUCGCUGAUCCACCUCCCUCCCCUCGCCUUAUGGAGCCAAUUGCCGCCCCAAGCUGGCGCGCGGUUCAGCAACUCGCCGCUCCAGGCCAGCUCGACGAGGAGCAGCGCACGGGCGUCGUUGCUGCCGUCCACGCUGCCACCUCGUACCGCGUCUCCCGUUUCUGUGGCCGAGACUCCCAUGCCAGCGGCCGCGCCAUGCAAGUAGCGACAAAAGCCGGGUGCGCAGAGAGCGACGAGUCGGUGGCCAGCGCCUCCGCGUCCGCCGCCAUCAGCAAGGAGAAGUAGAACACGGGAGGCCGCCGCCGCUUGGGUCCCAUGAAGGCCACCGCGGAGGCGACACCGGCGUACACAUCAGGUGUCUUGCCGGAUCCUUUUGUUGCGAGGACCUUCGUCGACCCCGCAUGGGCUCCACAAAAGAGGUCAAUGUUAGGAUGAACUCGAGCCGGUGCCGACCAUGGCGAAGUAGUGGCCGGUGAUGAACUCAAACCGGUGCCGGCCACCAUCAUCUUCGGCACCAGCCAAUGAUAUCAGCUGGGUAGUGGGGAAGCGAGCCAUCCUUUGCGCUGAAGCAUAUACCUCCGGGGCUCCCGGCAGUCCGGUGAUCGUGCUGCCGGACAUGAGGAACACAAAUCGAUCGGCGGGUGACCAUUUAGGCCAUGUAUUAUAUACCUGUACUGUCCAGAACUACCACCGCGUAGUUCAUUUGAAUGUAAUGAAAUCCGUCAUGUUUGUGUGAAAAUCCGGUAUUUAAUAUGAUUUCCUCAUUAUUUAUAUGAAAUACUCCGGUGGUUGCGUGAAUGAGUAUCAGUUUGUCUACGUGUUUGCGUGAAUUUUGUCCGGUUGGUUGAGUUGUUGUCAUAAUGUGUGCGGCUAUGGUUGGAUGGCGUAAUUUGCGGGUCGCCGGUUGGUCUGCGGGCGUCUCGGGAGGUGUUGUGGGACAAAAAAACACAGCUCGUGCGAGCUCGUCUCCAACAUGCGCGCUGGAGGAUGCAUGACAGCAUGAGCACCCGAGCCGUUCCUCGUUCAUCGGUGGCAAAGGCACAGGUGGACAAAAGGGUCGCCAAUAUUUUGGCUACCCCGGGGCAAGAUCCAAACAACCCCUCCCAACAGAUUCAAAUCCCUCGUUCGCCGUGGAAUUUUUCCAUGUGUUGUUUUCAUGGACUAGCAAGAUGCCCAUGCAUUGCACGGAACAUCAAGAUGCAUUUUUUUACAAACUCCCGCAUGCAUGCAAGGGAUAAUUAAUGUCCUCCUUUGCUAGUACCAUGAGGCAAACACCAUUAAUAUUGCAUUGAUUAGUGUUAGUGGCCUUGUAUAUCUGCAAAUUGUAAUUUUGAUAGUGGCCCCUUGUAUAUAAAAAUGGAGGGAGACAUAUGAGAGAUAAGGUGAGGAGGAGUGUGGCAUGGUGCCGUGGUGGUGACUGGUGGUCGGACUGGGCGGAGGCAUGGGGAUGGACGGCGCAUUAUGUCUAGGUUUGUAUCUCUCUCACACAGACCCACAUAGGUGGGGGACGUGCACAAAGAGAAGAGGUGCACGCACGACACACGUACUCCCAUCUCUUUCCCAACCACACCCGCGCGGGUACACGGUGGAGCUCAUUUCUGUACGAAAAAGGCAGCCCACGUGGUAAUUUGGCACGUGUACUGGUUGUCCACUUGGUGGAGAGAGGAUCGUCUACCAUGGGUGAACAAACAAAUUGCGACUUGACACGUUAUGUUAAAUUAAAAAAAGAGGCAAACCAUGUGGGGCCUACCUUAGAGACAAGGCUCUAUACACUGGAGUACUUUUGAUGUGUCCCGUCAACUCGCAGAACGAGGAGAAACUUGCUUAUUACGGCAUCUCCCCCGCCCACGGGCGCGGUGGCUCGCAGGAUGAGGUGAAGCUGGAGUACUACUGUACGCCUUUACGCCCGCUCCCUUGCCCACGCGCGCGGUGGCUCGCAGCACGAGGAGAAAAUUUUACUACUCCCUCCGUUUACUCCUCGUCCCUACUACGUACUUUGGUUAGUACUCCGUCUAUUUACUUAUAAAAGGACACUAUAAAAAAAUACAUUUUGCAUCUAUACAAGGCCACAAAUAGUAAUCGAGACAAAAGUUACUACUCCCUCCUUUCCAGUUUAUGGCUCAAUUUCAAAAUCUCUCCAACCAAGGUAGACGGUGAGUGGUCGAAUUAAUUUCGUAGUUUGCACAGUACGCUCGUUUUUCUCAAGAAGUUAUGUUUACCGAGGCAUUAAUUAGAACAAUGCAUGAAUGACCACUAAAUUUCCAUGAACUUGUACAUGCAUUGGUUAGUUUCCUCUUGACACUGCUUGCGUCGGGUGAUCUAACGCACCUCGAAAUCCAACAUGUAAUGGUACUACUACUAGUAUAGUACUAGAAUUGAGACUUAUCAAACGAAAAAAUGAAUGUUUUUGGAUGAUCCCUAUAAACCCUAGUGGGUACGUACUCUGUAAAAACAGAUUUUUCCAAAACUAAGUCGCUCCCUUUCAUGAAUUCUGUAGUAUACUCCUCCGUCGACGCUCCCUUUCAUGAAUUCUGUACUUCCUGUCGCCGACAUGUGGGACAUAUAGCAGCCGGGUCGACGUGUCAAGCACCAAAUAAUAGUGCAGAACAGCAGGGGGGACGCACCCCACUCGUACCGGCCCAGUGUUAGUAAUGAGCAAUGAGACGUCAAAUCACAAUGCCGCACCUUCCCAGAUGGACGAAGCGACCAUUAUUUCACACUUUGGUUCGACAUCAUCUCAAACCGCGUACCAGUAUUGCUUCUGCCUCAAAAGGGACACGCGCAUCGCCUUGGUACAUCAUGACACGUGGGACCGCAUGACAGGCCAUGCUCCCCCGCCGAUCGCUGGGUAAAAUCACCUCAUUUUUACUAUACUUCCUCCGGAUCGGUUUACUACAUGGCAUGCAUGUCGUUCUAGGUUGAGAAUUUAACUGGCUAUAUAUAUAUAUAUAUAUGAUGAACAGUACGCUAGCCUUUUAAAAAUGUAUACUUUUGUACAGUAGUACUCCACCAUCGAUGGAUUGCUCCAUGGAGCAAAAAUUGAAAUUUUAAAAAAAGGUGGUACAUAUAGAGAGCGCUCAUCGCCAAAUUAUGCAUAUAGUACUAUUAAAAAAGCUAGUACGUGCUUAAUUGGGGUGCUAAAUUCUAUUAAAGAAAUACUAGUACUAGUAUGUACAUACUGAAGAGUUAAAGUAAUGAGAAGAAACAUAACAUAGUUCUGCUGGGGGCUCAGCACAACACACCCCUCAAAUUAAAUUAAGCACACCUGAAAUUAAACUUGCAACUAAUCCGGUAGACACUGCAUUAGAAGUUUAGAACCGCCAUGAGCAACAACACUGCCACCUUACUCGGAGUCCUCGUCCAUGUCCUCGACUUCGUCCUUGUCCCUCUUCCUCUUGACCGAUACUUCUUUGCUUGAACCGCCAACUUGGCUGCUGCUCUUCAUCAAACCCUUGUAGAUAUUGAAACAAAGGUAGCCAUCCAUUGCAGCGUAGUGGAUGUGGUCUAUAUCUAGUACAUUCCACUGCCAUGCAUGACGAUGAAACGUGUAAUGAGGUUUCUCCAGUUUGCGGUACGAAGGAUGAACCAUGGCUCCUGCCAGGGUCAGCAUUGAGGGCUGAUGAGAGGGCACCAGCCGAUUCUUCUGGAGGUCGAAGGGGUUGCCUACAACGAGGCCUAUCCGACGCAGGACUUCUUUGUCGUUCUUAAAGUCUACAGUAACGAAUUUUACUAUUUUGUCCUCGAGGAAGUUCUUAAAAUCCUGGCACUCAACGUCGGCAUGGCAUAUGUGGUAGACCAAGCAAACAUUAUGUACGCAAACCUGGAUCACGGCGGGCUUCUUCCUCUCUCCGUCCUUUAGAUCCUUCUCUUGUCCCAUGACUGUGGUGUACUCAACAUCUAGCCCAUCAACCCACUCAUCAUGUGAGUUUUCGAACAUGCGUCUGAAGCGAGAAAGGCAUCCUUUCACCGUCGCGGAAGUACGGGUGUAGAUGACGUCGAACUCAUCGCCGGUGAUGGUUCUAACCUUGUACUCACUGCCGAUCGGGGAGAUUUGGGACGCCAUGGAUUUGGGAGGAGGGUUAGGAUUAGUGGAACUGCCGUAAUGUGAAUGGACGGGACGACUAGGAGCGAACCGCCGUAGUAUUAAAGGACGUGCGGGAAAGAGUAGGAGCGAACUGCGAGCGUGCGAAUGGUAGGGUAGUGGCUUUCCAUUCUCCCAUGGUACGGGCUUCCGAGAGCCCUUGGAUCUGAGAUCGAACGGUUGCAUGGAGUGAUUCUAGACCUAUGGGUGAAUAUCCUAUCUUGGAGGGUUAUUCUUAAAAUUUUCAGCAACUUAGCAUGUGACUGUUUGAUCUCAGAUCCAAGGGCUGCCAGCAGCCCGUAUCAUGGUCGUGCCUACCACGUCCGUCGCGUCGCUCGCGUGGUCGCGCCUUGGAGAUUUAACACGGUGCGUUAGGCUAUCUGAUGUUGGCAUGUCAUACAUAGUCAUCACUUAGUCACUCAUACUACAACAAGGUUGGCUAUAAGGUUGGCUAUAAGUGUAUUUUUUUACUCCUCUCUAUCUCUUUCUUCAUACUCCCUCCGUCCCAUAAUAUAAGAACGUUUUUGACACUAGCUAGUGUAGUGUCAAAAACGUUCUUAUAUAAUGGGACACAUGGAGUACUAGUAUUUAUUGCAUUUGCCAAGGAGUGACCUCUUCCAAUGAAAUGGUGUUGCUAAGUUUGCUUCAUUUAAUUAGCUAUAGAGUCAAAAUUGUCUUUUCACCUAGGUACACGCGCUUAGCACCGUUUCUUCCUUGGGUCACCAAACUAGUCUCUCUCUUCUUGAUUAACUUGCCACAUCAGACUUUAUGCCUAUGUGGCAAGCUUAAGCACCUGUAGGAGCAAGUAAGUACAAUAAUGCGCUUUGCCGCUUUACAUGGCAUUUUUGCAUAUGUGGAGGAAAGAGAGGCAAGGAAAAAGUGGAGAAGUGGGCUCUCAUGCAAGAGCCAGCCUCUACUACUACAUGGUGGAGCAUUGGGAGAGGCACCUGUAUGGAGGUGGUCAGGAAUCGGGAGACUCACGCCAGUCGUAGCGCCGCAGUUAAAAUGAUAAUGGCAAGUCAAAUCACGGGGCCCCACCUGUCCAGCAGUAACUCGCUGUCAAAUCACACAGCCCUACGUUUGCAACAGCCUACUCCCUCGUCUUCUCGCGUCUCCGUCGAACCGACUAGGCGGAACUGCCCCGCCUACCGCACAGGAAAAGCCCCACCCUCGACUUCUAAAUACAACUACUCCCUCCGUCGGAUGCGUUUGGGUUAAGGUAUCGUAUGAAUGGAUUGGGACCAUUCAAUUUUUUUGGGAUUGAACCAUUCAAUUCAUGUGUUUGGCUGAAUAUAAGAGAUGAGCUAAUUAUUUAAGAUGGGACCACCAGUCAUGCUCACAUAGUCAUGCAUGCAAAGGGUGGCCAUUUGAUUCGACCGAUUUGGUUGGGUGGAAUGGUUCAGCAUCUUCAAGGCAUAUUCUCUUUUUUGACUCAAACCAUUCAUGUGCUUUAUAACCAAACAUGUCUAUUUUCUGAACGAUCCCAACCCAUUCAUGACCACCCUUGCAACCAAACGCACGUCAUCUUACGAAAACCAAAUAAUCCUACAAUACUAAGGCGCGGUGCAUUAACUUCUACCUCAUUUCUUGUUUCUUCACAUAUCAACCAAUAAGAAUCCAAUGAUAUACUUUUUGUGACAUAGUAACUCAUAUUUAGUUAGUCAAAUGGAUGACCUAGAACUACGUGCAGGCCCUAUAAACCGAGACGCCUACAAAUAAAAAACCGAGACGGAGAGGGUAGUUCAGCACGUAUCUUUUGAGAUCAAUAUAGUCGGGAUUCACCAAGGAGCAAAACCAAGUGGUAGGCUGCUCCUGUCGUGUUGGCGUAGCAACUCAAGCAGGGUCAGUCCGCACAAGAAAUGGCGACACACUUAACAGGACCCCUUUGGUAGACAUGUGGCUCAUCCACCAUCUUGUUCCACGUGCGAUGCACCAAAUUACAGUUCGGAGUAGCGGUUGGAAUUGGAGGCACCCCGGUCGUAGCGCCGCAGUAGUAGAAAAUGAGCGAUGAGGGGUCAAAUCACAAAGCCCCACCUUUCUCGCAUUAAGCUGGACGGACGAAGCAACCAUCAUUUCACUCUAGCGCGCAAGAGCAUAAAGAAAAGAGAAAACAAUGAUGCAUGUGGCAACUACCUAGGGCACCCUAGGGUAGGGGUCUCCACUACAGAUCCUUUUUUUUGAAAAGCGCCUCCACUACAAAUCGGCUUCUCCCUCGUCCUCUUGAAGAAAACUGAUGAUGAGUGUGGCGGUAGGGUUUGUAGGAGUACUACGGCGUGCGGGGCCACGUCAUAGUAAACAGGUUCGAGUCGACGCCUUAAAUAUGUGUGGGCCGCUUGGUUUUACAGGAACGAGGCAACAUUUUGGGUUUGGGGACCAGUGGAGAUAUAGCACGUACAAAAAAUUGUGGACAUAGGUUCGACCGAAAGGCAAUGAUGCAUGGGCCCUGCAUUUUGAUAUACCCGGGGCCGCGUGAAAUUUGCUACUCUACUCAAAACUACUCCCUCCUUUCCGGUUUAUAGGGCUCAAUUCAAAAAUCUCACCAACCAAGGUAGAUGGUGAGUGGUGGAAUAAUUUUUGUAGUUUGCAAAAGCAUCCAAUUAAUGCUCUUGUUUCCUCAAAAAAUUAUGUUUACCAAUGCAUUAAUUGCAAUGCAUGCAUUCAUAAAGUACAUGCAUUGGUCAAUUUUCUCUUAAUACUUGCAUGCAAUGAUUUAAUGCACCUUGAAAUCUGAAUUUAUGAUGGGGAACAACCAAAUUGAGCCUUAUAAAAUGGAAAAACUAAUUUUUUUAGAUAAGCCCUAUAAACCGGAAAGGAGGGAGUAGUAAGGUACACAUGUAUUGAACGAAUGAGAUUUCGAAACCAAAUUAUGAAUAAAUACACACUAUAGCAUGUAAAGCUUUGAGUCAUAUAUGCAUGAUGUAGAUGUUCAUUUAGUUCUUAUAGUUCAUCUCAUUCAAAAUCAAUUAGUUUUAUAAAAAUGUUAAGAUUCAUGGGGUUGUGCAUUGUAAAUCAUAAAGUAAAAAACAAAUAAUGGCAAUUCAUUUAAAAAAAUAAUCAAUUAUGAUACAGAAGAUUCUAGAACAAAGGAGAAGUGCUUGUGUUUUGAGGUUUGUGCAUUAUGCUUAAGUUCAACCAUGGAGUCUUCUAAAUUGUACAUGUGGCAGAUCUGGUGGAAUGUUGAUGAUAUCCAACGGCCAGUAGUGCUCGGAUUUGCCCAUCUCUGCACUGUCGGGUUAGCUUCAUCCAGCGACCAUCUUUCAAAGUUAUUGGCACACUAUAUAGUUCUUGUGCCAUAGUUACAUGUUUUGGAAAAAAGCUACUAGUGGGUUGUACUAUCUAUUUAGGAAUAGAAGAUGCAUAUGUGUAAGUUGUAGUUAAAGAGAUGACAUGGAGCAUCUCAAUUCCCAUGAGUAGGGAUUGGAAAAGAGAUGUCAUUUGGUUCACAUCAUAGGAACUUUUCUAUUGAAUCUAGAGAUGACAUGUAUCUCAAUUCCUAUGAGGAGGGAUUCGUAAAGAGAUGUAAUUUGGUUCAUAUCAUAGGAACUUUUCUAUUGAAUAUACGCUAAUGUUUAUUUUCCUUUGAAAUUAAGGGAGUACAGGAAUCCAUUCAUAUGAACCAAGUGGCUCUAAAGCUAUAGAAAUGAUAUCAUGUUUAUUUCCUUUGAAAUGUAGAGUAUAUGAAUCUAUUCCUAUGAACCAAUUUGCUCUAAAGGAAAAAAAUCCUAUAAAAAAUCAUAUCAUAUAUAGUUCCUAUGAUAUUCCUCGACACUAAAGGAUGGUUGAAAUUGCCGCGGGUGAUACGAUGGUCUUUCUUUGUAGACUCCUCACCCAUCUUUAUAGUUACCUAUCGAAGAUGAAUGAAAUGAUAUCUACAGGGUAUUCUACAUGUGCAAUUUGGUACACGAAAACUUGGUAAAAGUUUGCUAGGUUAUAAUUUUCAAUAAAGCUAUAUGCACUGCAUUUCGGAACGGAGGGAGCAUAUGGUAGUUGCUAUCACUCACGUGGAAGAUUUGUGUGUAGGAUGAGUGGCUCUUCUGUUAAAUGACAUGGCAAAACUGACACUGUCGGAUGCCGAUCUAACGGUUCUUACGGCGUUCGUCAGGAAAAGGCUUGUGGCGAAUGUUUGUUGGAUAAUGAUUUACGGACACAUACAUUGCAUUGAUACAUGCCCCCUCUCUCUCUCACGUACACGCACCCUCACGAGUCACGAAUCUCCCGAGUCCUCUCGCAGACUCGCACGUUGCACCCAUCCUCUAUCUGCAGGUAGACGUCACGCACAUAUGUGCUAUUCACACCCUACCCUCAGAACUUCUAAAAAA